rnacentral:lncRNA from 1 species
AGAAAUCAGCGGAUCUUUUCCGGCUUAUUUGCCAGCACCGUCGCUUAUCGUUCCUAACUACCUCCCGUCCCGUGAAAGAAAAAUAAAAAACACCUCCCGUAAUCCCAAUCCCUCCCCUCGUCUCCCCGUCGCACGCGACCUCAGAGGCGAUGCGACGGUGUUAGGGUUUGUGCCGCCGCCCCGUCCGCUCCCCCUCCGUUGCCGGCCACAGGCAAUAUCACGCCGCCGCCUGAUUUCUUAUCUCCCUCGCCCCCCAGCCCCCUACUCACACACCCUCCACGCCUCCUCCGCGACCCCUCGGCGACGGCGGCCGGAGGCCACAUCUGCUUCUUCCCGACGACCUCCGGAAGCUGCCCGCCAGCCGUCNNNNNNNNNNNNNNNNNNNNNNNNNNNNNNNNNNNNNNNNNNNNNNNNNNNNNNNNNNNNNNNNNNNNNNNNNNNNNNNNNNNNNNNNNNNNNNNNNNNNCCGCCGGUGCCGACGAGUGGCCGUGCGCGCUGCGACGAGAUCGAGCGCCGCCGUCGCCUCCUCCCCGACGACAUGUACUACGACGACAGGUACGCCGCCGACUCCACCCUCUGGGACACGUGGCUCAGGGACGAGCACGACGUGCGGCGCGCCUCCUACUUCGUCGGCACGGUUUUGGGGCCGCGGUGACCACGGGAGGUGCGCGGGCGUACACGGGUGCGCGGCCUCACGCCCACGCCGUCGCCUUCCCGUCUCCGUCACCACCUCCACCUCCUCGCAUGACAGCGCAGGAGGAAGCUCGGCUCAUGCAGCGUGUCAUGGAAGACUCCAUGAUGACGCAUGAUGAACGCCAAUGGCUGGGCCUAGAGGACGCGAUGACCCUCUCUGCGGCCGGUGACAUCGCCAUCCCCGAGAUGGUGAAGGAGGAGGAAGUGCUGGAGGAUGCCCAGGUGGCCGCGUUCCCUCCUGAUCUGAUGGACCAGCAGUGGAGCUGGUCGUGCACGGCGCCGGAGAUGGCGCAGGUAGUGGGGGCGUGAACUGGUGCUCCACGCCGCCGCGGUCACCAGAGCGGGACGCCUCGCCACGGGAGGAGGUGCUGCAGGCACCUGCCAGCUUCCAGCCUGCCCCCGCGCAGCACGGACCGCCGNNNNNNNNNNNNNNNNNNNNNNNNNNNNNNNNNNNNNNNNNNNNNNNNNNNNNNNNNNNNNNNNNNNNNNNNNNNNNNNNNNNNNNNNNNNNNNNNNNNNUCUGUCGACCCUGAGUUAAUCACUCUGGUCAAAUCUGAUCCUUUUCACGGUUAUGAGUCUGAAACGGUUGUAGCCCAUCUUACCAAAUGAUAACCCACAAGUAUAGGGGAUCACAAAAGUUUUCGAGGGUAGAGUAUUCAACCCAAAUUUAUUGAUUCGACUCAAGGGGAAGCCAAAGAAUAUUCUCAAGUAUUAGCAGUUGAGUUGUCAAUUCAACCACACCUGAAAGAUUUAGUAUCUGCAGCAAAGUAUCAAUAGCAAAGUAGGGUGAUAGCAGCAGUAGCAACGGUAACCAGUAGCAGCAGAGUAACAGCAGGAGCAACAGAGUAACAGUAGCAGCAGUGACAGCAGUAGCAGCAAAGUACCGUAGCAAGGACCAGUAGUAAAAGACUCGUAGGCAUUGGAUCAGUGAUGGAUGAUUAUGCCGGAUGCUAUUCAUCAUGUAACAGUUAUAACACGAAGAGAUAAGUAACUAGCUCCCGUUCGUCAAUCUAAUGUAGGCAUGUAUUCCGUAUGUAGUCAUACGUGCUUAGGGAAAAGAACUUGCAUGACAUCUAUUGUCCAUCCCUCCCGUGGCAGCGGGGUCCUAAUGGAAACUACAGGAUAUUAAGGUUCUCCUUUUAAUAAAGAACCGGACCAACGCAUUAACACUUGGUGAAAACAUGAACUCCUCAUACUAUGGUCAUCUCCGGGAGUGGUUCCGGCUAUUGUCACUCCGGGGUUGCCGGGUCAUAACACAUAGUAGGUGACUACAACUUGCAAGAUAGGAUCUAAAACACACAUAUAUUGGCGACAACAUAAUAGGUUCAGAUCUGAAAUCAUGGCACUCGGGCCCUAGUGACAAGCAUUAAGCAUGGCAAAGUAGUAGCAACAUCAAUCUCAGAACAUAGUGGAUACUAGGGAUCAAUCCCCGUCAAAACUAACUCGAUUACAUGAUAGAUCUCAUCCAACCCAUCACCAUCCAGCAAGCCUACGAUGAGAUUACUCACGAACGGUGAAGAGCAUCAUGGAAUUGGCAAUGAAGGAAGGUUGGUGAUGACGAUGGCGACGAUCUCCCCUCUCCGGAGCCCAGAACGGACUCCAGAUCUGCCCUCGAGAUGAAGAACACGAGGUGGCAGCACCUCUGUAUCGUAAAACGCGAUGAAAUCUUCUUCUUGAUUUUUUUCCGGGCGAGACAGACUAAAUUGAGCUGGAUUUGGAGGCAGUGGAGCGUCGUGGGCUCCACAAGCCUGCUACUAUCCCGCAGACAAUAGCGCCAGAAGUUGACACGUUGACAGAGGCUGGGCUUGCGUUGGUUCUUCCCUUGAAGAGGAAAGGGUGAUGCAGCACAGGAGCAGUAAGUAUUUCCCUUAGUUUGAGAACCAAGGUAUCGAUCGAGAAGGAGGGCCUCGUCAAGUCGAGAGUACCUGCGCAAACACAAACAAGCUUGCACCCAACGCUUCAAAGGGGUUGUCAAUCCCUUCAAGAUUGUUUGCAAAGUGUGAUCUGAAGGCGGAAAGUGCAACGAAGUAAAAAGUGUAAGGCUGAAAAGAUGGUGUGGAGUAGACCGUGGGGGCCAUAGUGUUCAUUAGAGGCUUCUCUCAAAAUAGCAAGUAUCAUGGUGGGUAAACAAAUUACCGUCGAGCAAUUGAUAGAACCGCGCAAAGUCAUGACGAUAUCUAAGGCAAUGAUCAUGCAUAUAGGCAUCACGUCCGAGACAAGUAGACCGAUACUUUCUUCAUCUACUACUAUUACUCCACACAUCGACCGCUAUCCAGCAUGCAUCUAGUGUAUUGAGUUCAUGACGAACAGAGUAACGCUUUAAGCAAGAUGACAUGAUGUAGAGGGAUAAUCUCAAACCAAUGAUGAAAACCCCAUCUUUUUACCCUUGAUGGCAACAACAUGAUGCGUGCCUCGCUACCCCUUCUGUCACUGGGUGAGGUCACUACACGGUAUGAACCCAAAACUAAGCACUUCUCCCAUUGCAAGAAUCAUAGAUCUAGUUGGCCAAACAAAACUCACAACUCGAAGAGAAUUACAAGGAUAUGAAAUCAUGCAUAAGAGAGAUCAGAAGAAACUCAAAUAAGAUUCAUAGAUAAUCUGAUCAUAAAUCCACAAUUCAUCGGAUCUCGACAAACACACCGCAAAAGAAGAUUACAUCGGAUAGAUCUCCAUGAAGAUCAUGGAGAACUUUGUAUUGAAGAUCCAAGAGAGAGAAGAAGCCAUCUAGCUACUAGCUAUGGACCAGUAGGUCUAUGGUGAACUACUCACGCAUCAUCGGAGAGGUCAUGGUGUUGAUGAAGAAGCCCUCCGUAUCCAAAUCCCCCUCCGGUAGGGCACCAGGACGUGCCCCAUAUGGGAUCUUGCGGAGACACAAGCUUGCGGCGGCGGAAAAGCGAUUGCGAUGAUCUCUUGAUUUUUUUCUGGAAUUUAUGGGAUUAUAUAGGCGAAAGAUCUAGGCCAGGGGACCUCCAGGGGGCCCACAAGCCUGGAUGGCGCGACCCCCCUGGCCGCGGGGUGGGGCUUGUGGGGCCCCUAGAGCUCCUUUGGCUUGGCUACCAAGUUCCCCGAUCUUCUUCCGUUCCAAAAAAACUUUUCGGGGAUUUUCUUCCGUUUGGACUCCGUUUCAAAAUCUCCUCUGAAAGGGGUCAAAAACAUGGAAAAAACAGGAACUGGCACUUGGCACUGAGUAAAUAAGUUAGUCCCAAAAAAUAAAUAAAAGGCAUGCAAAACAUCCAAAAAUUGGCAACAUAAUAGCAUGAAACCAUAAAAAAUUAUAGAUACGUUGGAGACGUAUCACCUGCGUGGCACGACCAGGGGGGCCCGCGCCUGGUGGGCUUGUGGGCUCCACGCUCCACAUCCUCUGCUGAUUCUUGCGCGAGUAUUUUUCAUAAAUUCCAGAAAAAUUCUCCGUAAAUUUUCAGGUCAUUCCAAGAAAUUUUAUUUUUGCGCAAAAACAACACCAUGGCAAUUGUGCUGAAAACAGCGUUAGUCCGGGUUAGUUCCAUUCAAAUCAUGCAAAUUAGAGUCCAAAACAAGGGCAAAAGAGUUCAGAAAAGUAGAUACGACGGAGACGUAUCAACUCCCCCAAGCUUAAAGCCUUGCUUGUCCUCAAGCAAUUCAGUUGACAAACUGAAAGAGACAAAAGAAAAACUUUGAUGAACUCUGUUUGAUCUUGUUGUUGCAACUAUGUCUAACUCAUAACCAGAAUUUCAGCAAGAUCACAAGCUAACCACAUAAGCAAAUUACAUCUAGGUCUCACGGUAAACUCAUAUCAAUGGCAUAAUCAACUAGCGAGCAAAUACUAAUAAGUCUCAGACGUUAACACUUCAAUCAAAACAACAUGAAGCAGUACGAACAGAUGGUAUCUCGCUAGCUCUUUCUGAGACCGCAAAACAUAAAUGCAGAGCACCUUCAAGGACCAAGGGCUGACUAAACAUUGUAAUUCAUGGCAAAAAAGAUCCAGUCACAUUCAUACUCAACACGGUUAAAAGCAAAGCAUAAAAAUGACAGAGGUGCUCUCUAAUUGGUGCUUUUAUAAGAGGAGGAUGACUCAACAAGAACAUAAAUAGACAGGCCCUUCGAAGAGGGAAGCAUUGAUUUGCAGAGGUGCCAGAGCUCAAGCUUUGGAAACAGAGAUAAUAAUUUUGGGUGGCAUGCUUUCAUUGUCAACGCAGUGACUAAGAGUUCUCAACAUCUUCCAUGCUACACAUGCUAUAGGCGGUUCCCAAACUGAAAAGUAAAGUUUUGACUCCCCCACCACCGAUCAAUCACACUCAACGACUAGCCGAAUCCUCGGGUGUCGUCCAUACCAACAUCAAUCCAGGGGGAGUUUUGUUUGCAAUUAUCUUUUCGAUUUGAGCAUGGAACUGGGAAUUCCAAUUAACGGCCCCUUUCUCGUGAAUGAUAGUGAAUAAACACAUAUCGAGGAUAACACGCCUAGCAUGGAAGAUACUGAUAUCCCCGUGUCACCACAUGAGCGGUUCGGGCAUGCAAAACAAAUUAGUUCUUGAAGGUUUAGAGAGUGGCAUAUGCAAACUUACUUGGAACGGCAGGUUGAUACCGCAUAUAGGUAGGUAUGGUGGACUCAUAUGGAACAACUUUGGGUUUAUGGAAGUGGAUGCACAAGCAGUAUUCCCGCUUAGUGCAAGUGAAGGCUAGCAAAAUACUGGGAAGCGACCAACUAGAGAGCGACAACAGUCAUCAAAAUGCAUUGAUAUUAACUAACAUUGAGUGCAAGCAUGAGUAGGACAUAAAUCACCAUGAACAUGAAUAUCAUAGAGGCAAUGUUGAUUUGCUUCAACUACAUGCGUGAACAUGCGCCAAGUCAAACCACUUGAAUCAUUCAAAGGAGGAUACCAUCCUAUCAUACUACAUCAUAGUCAUCUAAAGAUUCAUGUGGGCAUCCAAGACAGACCAUUAUAAGCUCCUAGCUAAGUAAGCAUGGCAUCAACAAGUGUGAUCUCUAAGUUGUCAUUGCAAACAUGUUUAUCUCACAACAAAGCUGAAUCAGGCACGAUGAGCUUAGUCAUAUUUACAAAAAAAAAAAAGAUCGAGUUCAUACCAGCUUUUCCAGGCUCAGUCACUUCAUCAUAUAUCGUCAUUAUUGCCUUUCACUUGCACGACCGAAUGAUGUGAACAAUAAUAAGCGUGCUCGUGCAUUGGACUAAGCUGGAAUCUGCAGGCAAACACAAAGGAGAAGACAAAGUAAUAUGGCUCUUUAACAGAUAAACAGAUAUGCAUGCGAGAGCCACUAAACACUGUAACCAUGGUCUUCUACCUUGACCCAAAGAAAAAGAAAACUGUUUACACGGGAAAGCUCCCAACAAGCAAAAGAAUAAAAAGAAAGUCUUUUUGGGUUUUCUCAAACUAGACAGACACACGAAAAUAAAACGAGAAAAAGAAAAUAAACUAGCAUGGAUGAUACAUUGGCAAAGUGUGAACACCGACAAACAAAGUGAAAGCAUAAGCAAGAAUGUAAAGUCGGUGAGAAACACGUACUCCCCCAAGCUUAGGCUUUUGGCCUAAGUUGGUCUACUCCCAUGGAGGGAAAUAACCAGCUCCGGGGUACUCCGGAGUGGACUGAGGAUGCCACUGCUGUGUGAGCUCCUCUGGCUCCCACUGAUAAACUGGCGUCUGGUACUCGACUCGUGGCUCGGGCACGGGCACGUGUGGUUGGGCCAAGCCCAAUAUGCGUAGAUGUCCGAGGGCAUAAUAAUGUACCUCCUGCAUGGAGAUUGAACAAAAAAGGAGCAGGCAAAGUAAUAGUCUCACGAGUACCCUGACUAAAUACCAGGUUAUAAAUCAUCCUUCUAUUUAUAUCUCUAUCAAGAAAGUCAUGGAGAACCAUGCUAUCGUAAUCUAGAUAUCUCUCGGAAAGAAGAAUCUCUUCUUCCUCGUCCAGUCUAAUAGGUAUCUCAAAGUGUCUAGCAAGACGAGUAGCAUAGAUACCUCCAUAGACAAUGCCUUUAGAAGGGUUUGUGUUCAACCGUAAAAUGUAUGCUAGCAGCUCUAGCGCAAGACACUCCUCUCUCCUCUCCUACAACAAUAGUAUCGAUGAAAGGCUCCAAGUCCCAUGGACGAGGUUCAUGAAUAUCCCCAACAUAAGGUAAUUUGCAAACAUUGCAAAAAUCCUGAAGUGACAUGCGCUGGGGGAUAUCAUAUAACUUGAACUCAACCAUAGGAGGACUCUUCCUUGGAUAGAAAUUAAAGCUUUGUACGAAGAUAUUAGUGAGGAGGAGGUAUUGCAAACACUUAUCUUCAACGAGGGCGGUAAGGCCCGCGUUCUCCACCAAGUAAUAAAAGUCCUCAUAAAGUCCGGCGGCACGUAAGAACACCUCGCUUGGCCACUCGCACGCUCGAACUUCUGCAACUCGAGGGACCGGAUACUUGGGCUUCCUCUCACUUCCAUCAUCCUUGGGGUCACGGCUUGAAGAGCCUCUUAGGAACCUCCUCAUCUUUUCUCUUUUCUAUCUCUGAAAAUUUCUGAAAUUUUUAGUGAUUCUAAGGAAAAGUGAACAAGGCCCAACGAAACUCAUAGCAACUACUCCAACAAGUGCCUAGAGGCCAUAUUACGCAUCAAAACUACUUGGGACCAACUAAAAUUAGCAUGCAAGGCUCAAGAACAUGGUCACCAAGGCAGCAAAAAUACGCAAAGUAUAAGGCACUAGAGCAAAAACUAAUUGGACCAAUGGAGGAGUCACUUACCAAGGAGUUAUUUCCCCAAAACAGUUCGGAGAAUGGUGCUUUGAGUAAGGAGAUAAAAAAUGCAGCAAGAUGAGCAAGAACACGGGUUUGAGCUGCGAAAUGAUUUUUUUUAGGUAGGAGAAGCAGAUGAGAGCUGGAAUAAGUGGAGGGGGGUCACGUGGGGCCCACAAGUCUGCUAGGCAUGGCCAGGGGGGUGCCCGCACCUCCUGAGCUUUUGGUCCACUGGUGCAUCCCCCUGACUAGCUCUCUAUCUUAGAAUUUUCCAAAAAUUCUAGAAAAAAUCAUACUUGAUUUUCAGGAUGUUCGGAGAACUUUUAUUUUCGAGCCACUUUUCUAAGGGACGCAAAAAAUAGAAAACAGGAAAAACUAAAGCUAAAUUUAUCAUUUUUCUUCUAAACAACAAAAAGUAAAAGUUGGGAGCAGAAGGUUGUGACUCCUAGAUUCAUCCAUCUCAUGGUCAUCAAAAGAAAUCCGUCAAUGAGGUUGAUCAAGUCUCCUUAACAAAUUUUUUCGAAUAACAUGAAACCAGAGAAUUUUUGAAUAAUCACUAGGUUACCUCAACGGGGAUGUGCAUAUCCCCAACAAGUAAAUCAUACUUCAUCUUGACAGUAGGUAUAGGGCAUUCAAAGCUUCCAAUGAGAAUUGAUCAAGUUUUUUCAAUAGCAUUGAUGCAAUGUACUCGAUAUUGUUUCUUCGGAAAGUGCACCGUGUGCUCAUUACUGAUACGUCUCCGUCGUAUCUAUAAUUUUUGAUUGUUUCAUGCCAAUAUUCUACAACUUUCAUGUACUUUUGGCAACUUUUUAUACUAUUUUUGGGACUAACAUAUUGAUCCAAUGCCGAGUGCCAGUUCCUGUUUGUUGCAUGUUUUUUGUUUUGCGGAUUAUCCUUACCAAACGAAGUCCAAAUGCAAUAAAAAACCAACGGGGAUUUUUUUGGAAUAUUUAUGAUUUUUGGAAAGAAGAAUCUACACGAAACGAUGCCCGAGGGGGCCACAAGCCUAGGAGGCGCGCCCCCGUAGGGCGCGGCUGGCAGGCUUGUGACCAAUCCCUAAGGCGGUUGGGGCCCUUCUUUCACCGCAAGAAAGAUAAUAUCCGGAAGAAAAUCUUAUUAAACUGUCAGCCCAAUUAGAGUUACAGAUCUCUUGGAAUUUAAGAAACGGUGAAAGGCAGAAUCUUGGAGCGCAGAAACACAAGGACACACACAGAGAGAGAUCCAAUCUCGGCAGAGGGGAAACCCUUCUCCCAUAUAGGGAGGAGUUCAAGGAAUAAAAAGAAGAAGGGGAGCUCUCUCCCCCUCUCUCUCGGCGGCGCCGGAACACCGUCCGGGACAUCAUCGUGUGACGGCGAUCUACACCAGCACCUCCGUCAUAUUCACCAACACCUCCAUCACCUUCCCCCAUCUAUAUUCAGCGGUCCACUCUCCCGCAACCCGCUGUACCCUCUACUUGAACAUGGUGCUUUAUGCUUCAUAUUAUUAUCCAAUGAUGUGUUGCCAUCCUAUGAUGUUUGAGUAGAUUUUCAUUGUCCUAUCGGUGAUUGAUGAAUUGCUAUGAUUGGUUUAAUUUGCUUGUGGUUAUGUUGUUGUCCUUUGUGCCCAUCAUAUGAGCGCAUGCGUGGAUCACACCAUAGGGUUAGUAGUAUGUUGAUAGGACUAUGUAUUGGAGGGCAAGGGUGACAGAAUCUUCAGCCUAGCAUAGAAAUUGAUGCAUAUGGGAUUGAAGGGGGACCAAUAUAUCUUAUUGCUAUGGUUGGGUUUUACCUUAAUGAACGUUAGUAGUUGCGGAUGCUUGCUAAUAGUUCCAAUCAUAAGUGCAUAGAAUUCCAAGUAAGGCAUGACAUGCUAGCAGUGGCCUCUCCCACAUAAAACUCGCUAUCGGUCUAGUAACAUAGUCAAUUGCUUAGGGAAAAUUCCGCAACUCCUACCACCACUUUUCCACACUCGUCAAACUAACGUAAUUGUUUCUUUAUCUAACCAGCCCCUAGUUUUUAUUUACGUGUUCUUUCUUUUCUUGCAAGCCUAUCCUUUCACACCUACAAAGUACUUCUAGUUUCAUACUUGUUCUAGGUAAAAGCGAACGUAAAGUGUGCGUAGAGUUGUAUCGGUGGUCGAUAAAACUUGAGGGAAUAUUUGUCCUACCUUUAGCUCCUCGUUGGGUUCGACACUCUUACUUAUCGAGAAAGUAUACAAUUGAUCCCCUAUACUUGUGGGUUAUCAAGACCUUUUUCUGGCGCCGUUGCCGGGGAGCAAUAGCGUGGGGUGAAUAUUCUCGUGUGUGCUUGUUUGCUUUAUCACUAAGUAGAUUUAUUUGUUGUUCUAAGUUGUUCUCUAUCUUUAGUUAUGGAUAUGGAACACGAAAUACCAAAAAAAAAAAGGUGUACUUGCUACUCAUGGAGAUGGGGAACCUCCUAAAACCCUCGAUGCUCGUUAUGUGGAAAAUAUUAUGCACUUCUUUAAUAAUCCUGAGAAAACCCCAUAAAUUGUAUAAUGGCAUACACGUUGGAUCAACGUGAAUACUUUAGGGAUUAUCGCUUGACUCAAAAAGGGAAACUAUUAUGGGAUCAAAUUCAUAUGUUGAAAUGGUAUGCUUGGGAGCUAUGCUCGAGAGAUGAUAUUACAUGUUGCUCUAGGAUGAAGGCUAAAAACCUUCCCUUUUCUUGUAAAUUUAAUGCUAAUGAAACCUUGGCUUCUUAUGCUAAUGGUAUAUAUGAUUAAUAUGAUGUGGAACAAAUAGAAGAGUUUGUUGCUUUUAUGGGUGCUUAUGAGAUUGAACCUCUGUUUAAAAGGUGAGAUGAUAAUGAUGAUGCUGCUUACCGAUAUGAAAAUUUGGUUAUGCUUCGUUAUUGUUAUACUAAUUAUGAAUAUAAUGCCCAUAUUUAUCGAUUUAUGGAGAAGUAAACUAUGGAAGAAGAAAAUGUUGAAACCGUGAGCUCAUUAGAUGAAAAAGAUGACGAGGAGAGCGAAGAACAAAAGGAGGAAGAGCGGACUAGCUACCCGUGCCCACCUUCUAAUGAGAGUAACUCUUCAACUCAUACAUUGUUUAAUUCCCCUUCGUUCUUACAGAAGGAUGAAUUCUAUGUUGAUUGCUAUGAUCCCUUGAAUUCGUUUGAAAUAUCCCUUUUUGAUGAACUUGAUGCUUGCUAUGCUUGUGGCCAUGAUGCCAAUAUGAAUUAUGCUUAUGAAGAUGAACUUGCUAUAGUUCCUUAUGUUAAACAUGAAAUUGUUGCUAUCUCACCCACUUAUGAUAGUCCUAUUAUCUUUUUGAACUCUCCCAACUACACUAUAUUGGAGAAGUUUGCUCUUAUUAGGGAUUACAUAGAUGGGUUGCCUUCUACUAUUACACAUGAUGAUUUCGAUGAAUAUAAUAUGCAUGUGCUUGCUGCUCCUACUUGCAAUUAUUAUGAGAGAGGAACUACAUCUCCACCUCUCUAUGUUUCCAAUACGAUAAAAUUGCAAGAAGCUGCUUAUGCUAUGUAUUGGCCUUCACUUGAUGUGCAUGAAUUGUUCUUUUAUGACAUGCCAAUGCAUAGGAAGAGAGUUAGACUUUGUCAUUGCAUGAUAUAUGUUACCUUGUGCUCACUACUAAAUUACAAAUCAUUGUUAAUUAAAAUUGGUUUUGAUAUACCUUGGGAUCCGGGUGGAUCCAUUACUUGAGCACUUUAUGCCUAGCUUAAUGGCUUUAAAGAAAGAGCUGCCUGGGAGACAACCCGGAAGUUUUAGAGAGUCAUUUAUUUCUGUUAAGUUCUUUUAUAUAGUUUAAAAACAAAAAAUAAUAUAGAGGGGAACUUAAAACUCUUUCAAAAAGAGAAGCGAUUGAAAGGUGAUACAUUGCGGAAGUGAGGGUCGACCUUGAACACUUGUGUUCAUGCUCAUGGAAACAAUGUAGAAUUUUUCAUGGACAUUUCUCGCAAAAAUAAUUAUCCCCUUGUAAAAUUCCAUUGUAUUAUAAAAAUAAUGUGCCAAGUAAAGCCUUUAUGAUUAGUUUGGGUGAUAGUUGUUUGAUCAUGCUGAAAAAGACAGAAACUUUGUGCUCACCAAAUUAUUUUAGUUCCUAUCCAGAAAGAGAUUUUUAGUUGAUUCUUUUUAUGCUGAUUGAUAUGCAAAUUGCCCUAAUUGUCAUAAUUUUUCAGAAUUUUUGGAGUACCAGAAGUAUGGUAUACGUUCAGAUUACUACAGACUGUUCUGUUUUUGACAGAUUCUGUUUUCUAUGCAUUGUUCUUUUAUUUUGAUGAAUCUACGGGUAGUAUCGGGGGGUAUGGACCAUGGUGAAGUUGGAUUACAGUAGAUAUAAUGCUAAUAUAAAUUUGGAAUGAGUUCACGACAUUACUUAAAGUGGUGAUUUACGUUAUUAUACUAAGGGAUCUCACGAAGGUUUUGUUGAGUUUUGUGUGAUUGAAGUUUUCAAGUUUUGGGUGAGACCACGAUGGAUGAAGGAAUAAGGAGAGGCAAGAGCCUAAGCUUGGGGAUGCCCGAGGCACCCCAAGGUAAUAUUCAAGGAAGACUCAAGCGUCUAAGCUUGAGGAUGCCCCGGAAGGCAUCCCCUCUUUCGUCUACAAUCUAUCGGUAAUUUUACUCAGAGCUAUAUUUUUAUUCGUCACAUGAUAUGUGCAAAUGCUUGGAGCAUCUUUUGUGUUUAUUUUUUCCUUUUUAUUUUAUGCACCAUGCUGGUAUGAGAUAGUCCUUGGUUGAUUUAUAGAAUGCUCUUUGCACUUCACUUAUAUCUUUUGAGUAUGGCUUUAUAGAAUCUUCAUGUGCUUAACUUAUAUCAUUUGAAGUUUGGAUUGCCUGUUUCCCUACACAUAGAAAACCGCCAUUUGUAGAAUGCUCUUUUGCUUCACUUAUAUUUGUUAGAGCGGGGCAUAUAUUUUGAAGAAAGAAUUAAACUCUCAUGCUUCCCUUAUACCUAUUUAGAGAGUUAACAGGAGUUGGUCAUUCACAUGGUUAGUCAUAAAAUCCUACAUAAAACUUGUAGAUCACUGAAUAUGAUAUGUUUGAUUCCUUGCAUUAGUUUUACAACAUGAAGAUGUGAUAUUAGAGUCAUGCUAGUGAGUAAUUGUGUAUUCGUAGAAAUACUUGUGUUAAGGUUUGUGAUUUCCGUAGCAUGCACGUAUGGUGAACCGUUAUGUGACGAAGUCGGAGCAUGAUUUAUUUAUUGAUUGUCAUCCUUUGUGUGGAGGUCGGGAUCGCGCGAUGGUUAACUCCUACCAACCCUUCCCUUAGGAGCAUGCGUGUAGUACCUUGUUUCGAUGACUAAUAGACUUUUGCAAUAAGUAUGUGAGUUCUUAAUGACUAAUGUUGAGUCCAUGGAUUAUACGCACUCUCACCCUUCCACCAUUGCUAGCCUCUCUAGUAUCGCGCAACUUUCGCUGGUGCAUUGCACCCACCAUAUACCCUUCCUCAAAACAGCCACCAUACCUACCUAUUAUGGCAUUUCCAUAGCCAUUCCGAGAUAUAUUGCCAUGCAACUUCCAUCGUUCCGUUUAUUAUGACACACACCAUCAUUGUCAUAUUGCUUUGCAUGAUCGUAAGAUAGCUAGCAUGAUGUUUUCAUGGCUUGUCCGUUUUUUGAUGUCAUUGCUACGCUAGAUCAUUGCACAUCCCGGUACACCGCCGGAGGCAUUCAUAUAGAGUCAUAUUUUGUUCUAAAUAUCGAGUUGUAAGUAAAUAAAAGUGUGAUGAUCAUCAUUAUUAGAGCAUUGUCCCAUGUGAGGAAGUAAUAGAAGAGGCCAAUGAAGCCCAAAUAAAAAAAGAGGCCAAAGAAGCCCACCAAAAAAGGGGAAAAAUAAUUAAAAAUGAGAGAAAAGAGAGAGGGGACAAUGCUACUAUCCUUUACCACACUUGUGCUUCAAAGUAGCACCAUGAUCUUCAUGAUAGAGAGUCUCCUAUGUUGUCACUUUCAUAUACUAGUGGGAAUUUUCGUUAUAGAACUUGGCUCGUAUAUUCCAAUGAUGGGCAUCCUCAAUUGCCUUAGGUCUUCGUGAGCAAGCGAGUUGGAUGCACACCCACUUAGUUUCUUUUUGAGCUUUCAUAAACUUAUAGCUCUUGUGCAUCUCUUGCAUGGCAAUCCCUACUCACUCACAUUGAUAUCUAUUGAUGGGCAUCUCCAUAGCCCGUUGAUACGCCUAGUUGAUGUGAGACCAUCUCCUCCUUUUUGUCUUCUCCACAACCACCAUAUUCUAUUCCACCUAUAGUGAUAUGUCCAUGGCUCAUGCUCGUGUAUUGCGUGAAAGUUGAAAAAGUUUGAGAACACUAAAGUAUGAAACAAUUGCUUGGCUAAAACCGGGGUUGUGCAUGAUUUAAAUACGUUGUGUGGGGAAGAUGGAGCAUAGCCAGACUAUAUGAUUUUGUAGGGAUAACUUUCUUUGGCGAUGAUAUUUUGAGAAGACAUGAUUGCUUUGUUAGUAUGCUUAAAAUAUUAUUGUCUUUAUGUCAAAUGAUAGACUAUUGCUUCGAAUCACUCGUGUUUUAGUAUUCAUGCCAUGAUUAGAUUAUAUGAUCAAGAUUAUGCUAGGUAGCAUUCCACAUCAAAAAUAAUCUUUUUUAUCAUUUACCUACUUGAGGACGAGCAGGAAUUAAGCUUGGGGAUGCUGAUACGUCUCCAUCGUAUCUAUAAUUUUGAUGGUUUCAUGCCAAUAUUCUACAACUUUCAUAUACUUUUGGCAACUUUUUAUACUAUUUUUGGGACCAACAUAUUGAUCCAGUGCCCAGUGCCAGUUCCUGUUUGUUGCAUGUUUUUUGUUUCGCAGAUUAUCCUUACCAAACGAAAUAAAAAAUCUACGGGGAAUUUUUUUGGAAUAUUUAUGAUUUUUGGGAAGAAGAAUCUACGCGAAACGAUGCCCGAGGAGGUCACAAGGCAAGGAGCCCCCCCCUAGGGCACGGCUGGCAGGCUUGUGACCAAUCCCUAAGGUGGUUGGGGCCCUUCUUUCGCCGCAAGAAAUACAAUAUCCGGAAGAAAAUCGUGUUAAAAUUUCAGCCCAAUCGGAGUUACGGAUCUCCUGGAAUUUAAGAAACGGUGAAAGGCAGAAUCUGGGAGCGCGGAAACAGAAGGACACACAGGGAGAGAUCCAAUCUCGGAGGGGCUCUCGCCCCUCCGCCGCCAUGGAGACCAUGGACCAGAGGGGAAACCCUUCUCCCAUGUAGGGAGGAGGUCAAGGAAGAAGACAAGAAGGGGGGCUUGUUGGGUAACGUAGCAUAAAUUCAAAAAAUUUCCUACGUAUAUUCAGAUCUUCCUAUGGAGAGACCAGCAAUGAGAGAGGGGUGAGUGCAUCUUCAUACCUUUGAAGAUCUCUAAGCGGAAGCAUUGCUAGAACACGGUUGAUGGAGUCGUACUCGCGGCGAUUCAGAUCGCGGUGUGAUUCCGAUCUAGUGCCGAACCACAGCACCUCCGCGUUAAACACACGUGCAGCCCGAUGACGUCUCCCGCACCUUGAUCCAGAAAGGAGGAGGGAGAGGUUGGGGAAGAUCUCCGGCAGCACGGCGGCGUGGUGUCGAUGGAGAGACGAGGUCCCCCGGCAAGGCUUCGCCAAGCACCGUGGGAGAGGAGGAAGAAGGGGGGCAGGGCUGCGCCGAGGGAGAGGGAAAACUGUGUGCAAAAUAACCCCAAAACCCCCACUAUAUAUAGAAGGAGGGGAGGUUUGUGCCACCCCUAGGAUUCCCACCCUAGGUGGUGUGGCAGCCCCCCCCAGAUGGGAGGUGCGGCGACCAGGGCAGGGGGAGGGGUGGCGCACCCCAAGGUGGGCCUUAGGCCCACCAGCGCCCAAGGUUUCCCCCCCCCUCUCCACCUCCCGCGCCUUGGGCCUCCUUGUGGGAGGCGCACCAACCCACUUUGGGCUGGUUGCCCUCCCUCUUUUGGCCCAUUCUACCUCUUGGGGCUGGUGGCCCCUCCCGGUGGACCCCCGGGACCAUUUCCGGUGGUCCCCGUACAUUACCAGUGACGCCCAAAACAUUUCCGGUGUCCAAAACCAUCCAUCCUAUAUAUCCGGACCAUUCCAGAGCUCCUCGUAACGUCCGGGAUCUCAUCCGGGACUCCAAACAACUUUCGGUAACCUCGUAUAACAAUUCCCUAUAACCCUGGUGGCAUCAAACCUUAAGUGUGUAGACCCUACGGGUUCGGGAGACAGGCAGACAUGACCGAGACACCUCUCUGGCCAAUAACCAUCAACAGGGUCUGGAUACCCAUGGUGGCUCCCAGUUGCUCCACGAUGAUCUCAUCAGAUGAACCACGAUGUCAAGGAUUCGAUCAAUCUCGUAUACAAUUCCCUUUGUCUGUCAAUAUAGAACUUGCCCGAGAUUCGAUCGUCGGUAUACCUAUACCUUGUUCAAUCUCGUUACCGGUAAGUCUCUUUACUCGUUCCAUAGCACGUCAUCGUGUGACCAACUCCUUAGUCACAUUGAGCUCAUGAUGAUGUUCUACCGAGUGGGCCCAGAGAUACCUCUCCGUCACGCGGAGUGACGAAUCCCGAUCUUGAUUCAUACCAACCCAACACACACUUUCAGAGGUACCUGUAGUGCACCUUUAUAGUCACCCAGUUACGUUGUGACGUUUGAUACACCCGAAGCACUCCUACGGUAUCCGGGAGUUGCACAAUCUCACGGUCGAAGGAAAAGACACUUGACAUUAGAAAAGCUUGAGCAUACGAACAAUACGAUCUAGUGCUAUGCUUAGGAUUGGGUCUUGUCCAUCACAUUAUUCUCCCAAUGAUGUGAUCCCGUUAUCAAUGACAUCAAAUGCCGAUGAUCACGAAACCAUGAUCAUCUAUUGAUCAACGAGCUAGCCAACUAGAGGCUUUCUAGGGACACAUUGUGAUCUAUUUAUUCACACAUGUAUUACUGUUUCCUGUUAAUACAAUUAUAGCAUGAAUAAUAGACGAUUAUCAUGAACAAGGAAAUAAGAUAAUAACCAUUUGAUUAUUGCCUCUAGGGCAUAUUUCCAAUAGUCUCCCACUUGCACUAGAGUCAAUAAUCUAGUUACAUUGUGAUGUAUCGAACACCCAUAGCGUUAUGGUGUUGAUCAUGUUUUGCUCGAGGAAGAGGUUUAGUCAACGGGUCUGCGACAUUCAGAUCCGUAUGUACUUUACAAAUCUCUAUUACUCCAUUCUGGACAUGGUCCUGGAUGGAGUUGUAGCGGCGUUUGAUGUGCUUGGUCUUCCUAUGAAACCUGGGCUCCUUGGCUAUGGCAAUGGCCCAUUGUUAUCACAGAAGAGCGUCAUUGGACCUGACGCGCUUGGAACCACUCCAAGGUCGGUGAUGAGCUCCUUCAUCCAAAUUCCUUCAUGAGCCGCUUCUGAAGCAGCUAUGUACUCCGCUUCACAUGUAGAUGCUGCCAUGACUUCUUGCUUGCUGCUGCACCAGCUCACUGCCCCACCAUUCAAAACAUAUACGUAUCAGGUGUGUGACUUAGAGUCAUCCGGAUCUGUGUCGAAGCUAGCGUCGACGUAACACUUUACGACAAGCUCUUCGUCACCUCCAUAAACGAGAAACAUCUCCUUAGUCAUUUUCAGGUACUUAAGGAUAUUCUUGACCGCUGUCCAGUGUUCCAUACCGGGAUCACUUUGGUACCUCCCUACCAAACUUAUGGCAAGGUUUAUAUCAGGUCUGGUACACAACAUGGCAUACAUUAGAGAGCCUACGGUUGAAGCGUUGGGGACAAUACUCAUCUUCUCUCUAUCUGCUGCCGUGGUCGGUGACUGAGUCUUACUCAAUCUCAUACCUUGCAAAACUAGCAAGAACCCUUUCUUUGAGUUUUCCAUAUUGAACUUCUUCAAUAUCUGGUCAAGGUAUGUACUUUGCGAAAGACCUAUGAGGCGUCUCGAUCUAUCUCUGUAGAUCUUGAUGCCAAAUAUGUAUGCAGCUUCUCCAAGGUCCUUCGUUGAAAAACUCUUGUUCAAAUAGGCCUUUAUGCUCUCCAACAUCUCUAUAUUAUUCCCCAUCAAUAAUAUGUCAUCCACAUACAGUAUGAGGAAAGCUACAGAGCUCCCACUCACUUUCUUGUAUAGACAGGCUUCUGCAUAAACCUGUAUGAACCCAAAUGCUUUAAUCACCUCAUUAAAGCGAAUGUUUCAACUCCGAGAUGCUUGCACCAGCCCAUAGAUGGAGCGCUGGAGCUUGCACACUUUGUUAGCACCCUUAGGGUCGACAAAACCUUCUGGUUGCAUCAUAUACAACUCUUCGUUAAGGUUCCCGUUAAGGAACGCUGUUUUGACGUCCAUUUGCCAAAUUUCAUAAUCAUAAAAGGCGGCAAUUGCUAACAUGAUUCAGACCGAUUCCAGCUUCGCUACGGGAGAGAAAGUCUUUUCGUAGUCAAUUCCUUGCAUUUGUCGAAAACCCUUUGCGACAAGUCAAGCCUCAUAAACGGUUACAUUACCGUUUAAAUCAGUCUUCUUCUUGAAGAUCCAUUUAUUUGCUAUGGCUCGCCGGUCUUCGGGCAAGUCCACCAAAGUCCAUACUUUGUUCUCAUACAUGGAUCCUAUCUCGGAUUUCAUAGCUUCAAGCCAUUUGUUGGAAUCCGGGCCCGCCAUCGCUUCUUCAUAGUUCAAAGGUUCACCGUUGUCUAACAACAUGAUUUCCAUCAUAGGGUUGCCGUACCACUCAGGUGCGGAGCGUGCCCUUGUGGACCUUCGCGGUUCUGUAGUAACUUGAUCCGAAGCUUCGUGGUCAUUAUCAUUAACUUCCUCUUCUGUUGGUGCAGGCGCCACAGGAACAAUUUCCCGCGCUGUGCUACUUUCCUGUUUGAGAGGGGGUGUAAUUACCUCAUCAAGUUCUACCUUCCUCCCACUUACUUCUUUCGAGAGAAACUCUUUCUCUAGAAAGGAUCCAUUCUUGGCAACAAAGGUUUUACCUUCGGAUCUAAGAUAGAAGGUAUACCCAAUAGUUUCCUUAGGGUAUCCUAUGAAUACGCAUUUCUCUGCUUUGGGUUUGAGCUUUUCUGGUUGAAGUUUCUUCACAUAAGCAUCGCAGCCCCAAACUUUAAGAAACGAUAAUUUAGGUUUAUUGCCAAACCAUAGUUCAUACGGUGUCGUCUCAACGGAUUUAGACGGAGCCCUAUUUAAAGUGAAUGCUGGAGUUUCUAAUGUGUAUCCCCAAAAUGAUAGCGGUAAGUCGGUAAGAGACAUCAUAGAUCGUACCAUAUCUAAUAAAGUGCGAUUACGACGUUCAGACACUCUGUUGCGUUGCGGUGUGACAGGCCGCGUCAGUUGUGAAACGAUUCCAUACUUCCUUAGGUGUGCGCCAAACUCGUGACUCAAAUAUUCUCCUCCACGAUUAGAUCAUAGACACUUAAUUUUUCUGUCAUGUUGAUUCUCGACCUCACUCUGAAAUUCCUUGAACUUUUCAAACGUCUCAGAUUUGUGCUUCAUUAAGUAGAUAUACCCAUACCUACUCAAAUCAUCGGUGAGAGUGAGAACAUAACGAUAGCCACCGCGAGCUUCAACGUUCAUUGGACCACACACAUCAGUAUGUAUUAUUUCCAAUAAGUCGGUUGCUAUCUCCAUUAUUCCUGAGAAUGGAGUCUUAGUCAUCUUGUCCUUGAGGCACGGUUCGCAUGUGUCAAAUGAUUUAAAGUCAAGAGACUCUAAUAGUCCAUCAGUAUGGAGCUUCUUCAUGCGCUUAACACCGAUAUGACCAAGGCGGCAGUGCCACAAGUAUGUGGGACUAUCAUUAUCAACUUUACAUCUUUUGGUACUCACACUAUGAAUAUGUAUCACGAUCGAGAUUCAUCAAGAAUAAACCAUUCACCAGCGGAGCAUGACCAUAAAACGUAUCACUCAUAUAAAUAGAACAACCAUUAUUCUCUGACUUAAAUGAGUAGCCCUCUCGCAUUAAGCAAGACCCUGAUACAAUAUUCAUGCUCAAAGUUGAUACUAAAUAACAAUUAUUAAGGUUUAAAACUAAUCCCGACGAUAGAUGUAGAGGUAGCGUGCCGACGGCGAUCACAUCGACCUUGGAGCCAUUCUCGAGGCGCAUCGUCACCUCGUCCUUGGCCAGUCUCCACUUAUUCCGCAGUUCCUGAUUUGAGUUGCAAAUGUGAGCAACAACACCGGUAUCAAAUACCCAGCAGCUACUAGGAGCGCUGGUAAGGUACACAUCAAUAACUUGUAUAUCACAUAUACCUUUAACGUUGCCAGCCUUCUUGUCCGCUAAGUAUUUGGGGUAGUUCCGCUUCGAGUGACCUUUUCCCUUGCAAUAGAAGCACUCAGUCUCAGGCUUGGGUCCAUUCUUUUUCAUAUUCCCGGCAUCUGGCUUACCAGGCGCGGCAACGGCUUUGCCGUCUUUCUUGAAGUUCUUCUUAGCCUUGCCCUUCUUGAAACUAGUGGUCUUGUUGACCAUCAACACUUGACGCUCUUUCUUGAUUUCUACUUCUGCAGACUUGAGCAUCGAGUACAACUCAGGAAUGGUCUUCUCCAUCCCUUGCAUGUUGUAGUUCAACACAAAACCUUUGUAGCUUGGUGGGAGAGACUAGAGGAUUCUGUCAAUUAUAGCAUCAUCCGGAAGUUCGAUUCCAAGUGAAGUCAGACGACCGUGUAACCGAGACAUUUUGAGUAUGUGCUCACUGACAGAACUGUUCUCCUCCAUCUUACAACUAAAGAACUUGUCAGAGACUUCAUAUCUCUCGACACGGGCAUGAGCUUGAAAAACUAGUUUCAGCUCUUGGAACAUCACAUAUGCACCGUGUUGCUCAAAACGCCUUUGGAGCCCCGUUUCCAAACUGUAUAACAUGCCACACCUAACCAGAGAGUAGUCAUCACUCCACGUUUGCCAGACGUUCAGAAUGUCCUAGGCUGCUACGGGAGCGGGAGGGUCACCUAGCGGCGCAUCAAGGACAUAAGCCUUUCUAGCUGCUUCAAGGAUGAGCUUCAAGUUGCGUACCCAGCCCACAUAGUUGCUACCACCAUCUUUCAGCUUGUUUUCUCUAGGAAUGCAUUGAAAUUGAGGUUGACGUUGGCCAUCUACAAUAUUUAUAAAGACAACUUUUAGACUAAGUUCAUGACAAUUAAGUUCAUUUAAUCAAAUUAAGUAUGAACUCCCACUUAAAUCAACAUCCCUCUAGUCAUCUAAGUGAUACAUGAUCCAUGUUGACUAACCCGUGUCCGAUCAUCACGUGAGACGGACUAGUCACCAUGGUGAGCAACUUCAUGCUGAUCGUAUUCAACCAUACGACUCAUGUUCGACCUUUCGCUUGUAUUCGAGGUCAUGUCUGUACAUGCUAAGCUCGUCGAGUCAACCUAGGUGUUUCGCGUGUGUAAAUCUGGCUUACACCCGUUGUAUGCGAACAUUAGAAUCUAUCACACCCGAUCAUCACGUGGUGAUUCGAGACAACAAUCCUUCGCAAUGGUGCACACUUAGGGGAAUACGUUCUCGAAAUUUUAAGAGGGAUCAUCUUAUUAUGCUACCGUUGUUCUAAGCAAUAAGAUGAAAAACAUGAUAAGCAUCACAAUGCAAUCAUAUAGUGACAUGAUAUGGCCAUUAUCAUCUUUGCUCUUUCGAUCUCCAUCUUCAGGCAUCGCAUGAUCAUCAUUGUCACCGGCGUGACACCAUGAUCUCCAUCAUCGUGUCUCCAUGAAGUCGUCAUGCCAACUACUACUAUCACUACUGCUAUAGCUAACCGUUAGCAAUGAAGUAAAAGUAGUAAGUAGAUGGCGUUGCAUCUCAUACAAUAAAUGAAGACAACUCCUAUGGCUCCUGUCGGUUGUCAUACUCAUCGACAUGCGAGUCGUGAAACGUAUUAAAAUAACAUUAUCAUCUCAUACAUCAUACAUGCAACAUCACAACUUUGGCCAUAUCACAUCACAUGUCAAACCCUGCAAAAACAAGUUAGACGUCCUCUAAUUGUUGUUGCAAGUUUUACGUGGCUGAUUUGGGUUUCUAGCAAGAACGCUUUCUUACCUACGUGACAACCACAACGAUGAUAUGCCAAAGAUAUUUACCCUUCAUAAGGACCCUUUUCAUCAAAUCCAAUCCGACUAGAGUAGGAGAGACAGACACCCGCUAGCCACCUUUAUGCACGGUGUGGAUGUCUGUCGAUGGAACCAGUCUCACGUAAGCGUACGUGUAAUGUCGGUCCGGGCCACUUCAUCCCACGAUACCGCCGGAAAAUAAUAAGACUAGUAGCGGCAAGCAAUUGACAAAUCAUCGCCCACAACCUUUUGUGUUCUACUCGUGCAUAGAAUCUACGCAUAGAAAACCUGGCUGUUAUACCACUGUUGGGUAACGUAGCAUAAAUUCAAAAAAAUUCCUACGCAUAUUCAGAUCUUCCUAUGGAGAGACCAGCAACGAGAGAGGGGUGAGUGCAUUUUCAUACCUUUGAAGAUCGUUAAGCGGAAGCGUUGCUAGAACGCGGUUGAUGGAGUCGUACUCGCGGCGAUUUAGACCGCGGUGUGAUUCCGAUCUAGUGCCGAACCACGACACCUCCGCGUUCAACACACGUGCAGCCCGGUGACGUCCCCUGCACCUUGAUCCAUCAAGGAGGAGGGAGAGGUUGAGGAAGAUCUCCGGCAGCAUGACGGCGUGGUGUCGAUGGAGAGACGAGGUCUCCCGGCAGGGCUUCGCCAAGCAUCGUGGGAGAGGAGGUAGAAGGUGGGCAGGGCUGCGCCGAGGGAGAGGGAAAACUGUGUGCAAAACAGCCCCAAAACCCCCACUAUAUAUAGGAGGAGGGGAGGGGUGCCACCCCUAGGGUUCCCACCCUAGGUGGUGCGGCAGCCCCCCAGAUGGGAGGUGCGGCGACCAGGGCAGGGGCAGCGGUGGCGCACCCCUAGGUGGGCCUUAGGCCCACCAGCGCCUAGGGUUUCUCCCCUUUCCACCUCCUUCGCCUUGGGCCUCCAUGCGGGAGGCGCACCAGCUCACUUUGGGCUGGUUUCCCUCCCUCUUUUGGCCCAUGCUACCUCUUGGGGCUGGUGGCCCCUCCCGGUGGACCCCCGGGACCAUUUCCGGUGGUCCCGGUGGUCCCGGUACAUUACCGGUGACGCCCGAAACACUUCCGGUGUCCAAAACCUUCCGUCCUAUAUAUCAAUCUUUACCUCCGGACCAUUCCGGAGCUCCUCGUGACGUCCGGGAUCUCAUCCGAGACUCCGAAAAACUUUCGGUCACCUCGUACAACAAUUCCCUAUAACCCUAGCGUCAUCGAACCUUGAGUGUGUAGACCCUACGGGUUCGGGAGACAUGCAGACAUGACCGAGACACCUCUCUGGCCAAUAACCAUCAGCGGGGUAUGGAUACCCAUGGUGUCUCCCACUUGCUCCACGAUGAUCUCAUCGGAUGAACCACGAUGUCAAGGAUUCAAUCAAUCCCGUAUACGAUUCCCUUUGUCUGUCGGUAUUGAACUUGCCCGAUAUUCGAUCGUUGGUAUACCUAUACCUUGUUCAAUCUCGUUACCGGUAAGUCUCUUUACUCGUCCCGUAGCACGUCAUCGUGUGACUAACUCCUUAGUCACAUUGAGCUCAUGAUGAUAUUCUACCGAGUGGGCCCAGAGAUACCUCUCCGUCACACGGAGUGACAAAUCCCGAUCUCGAUUCGUGCCAACCCAACAGACACUUUCGGAGGUACCCGUAGUGCACCUUUAUAGUCACCCAUUUACGUUGUGACGUUUGAUACACCCAAAGCACUCCUACGGUAUCCGGGAGUUGCACAAUCUCACGGUCGAAGGAAAGGAUACUUGACAUUAGAAAAGCAUUAGCAUACGAACAAUACGAUCUAGUGCUAGGCUUAGGAUUGGGUCUUGUCCAUCACAUCAUUCUCCCAAUGAUGUGAUCCCGUUAUCAAUGACAUCUAAUGCCCAUGAUCAGGAAACCAUGAUCAUCAAUUGACUAACGAGCUAGCCAACUAGAGGCUUGCUAGGGACACAUUGUGAUCUAUUCAUUCACACAUGUAUUACUAUUUCCUGUUAAUACAAUUUUAGCAUGAAUGAUAGACGAUUAUCAUGAACAAGGAAAUAUGAUAAUAACCAUUUUAUUAUUGCCUCUAGGGCAUAUUUCCAACACAUUCCCUGAAAACACAACCAGGACAACUAUCUAGGUGGUCCCUAGAAGCUUCGGUUAGUCCAUUAUAAAAGAUAUCAAGUAUUUCAUUUUUCUCAAGAGGGUGAUCAUGCAAAGCAUUCAGUAGCUGGACAAGCCUCCCCAAGCUUGUGGGAGACUCUCUUCUUCAACUUGCACAAAGUUAUAUAUAUCCUGCAAGGCAGCUUGUUUCUUUUGGGCAGGAAAAUAUUUCUCAGAGAAGUAGUAGAUCAUAUCCUGGGGACUACGCACACAACCCGGAGCAAGGGAAGUAAACCAAGUCUUAGCAUCACCCUUUAGCGAGAAAGGAAACAACUUAAGGAUAUAGUAGUGGUGGAUCUUUUCCUCAUUUGUGAAUAGGGUGCCUAUAUCGCGCAGUUUGGUAAGAUGUGCGACAACUGUUUCAGACUCAUAACCAUGAAAAGGAUCAGAUUUGACCAAAGUGAUUAACUCAGGAUCGAUAGAGAAUUCAUAAUCCUUAUCAGUAACAAAGAUAGGCGAAGUAGCAAACUUAGGAUCGUAUUUCAUUCUAGCAUUCACAGAUUUUUUCUUUCCAGUUGUGCAAUAAAUUCUCAAGAUCAUAGCUAUCCUUACAAGCAAGAAAGUCCUCAGCUACCUCUCCCUCCAUAACAUAACCCUCAGGUAUAUCAGGCAAUUCAUAUCUAGGAGAGCUAGUUCUAACAGGUGAAAAAGCAGGUUCUACUUCAAUAAUUUCAGCAGUUUCAGAAGUAUCAUCACAUUCAGCAGCAACUCUAGCAAUUUGUGCAUCAAGGAAUGCACCUAGUGGCAAAGCAGUAUCAAGCAAAGCAUCAUCAUAAGCAUCAUGGAUAGUAGAAGUAGCAUCAUCAAGCACAUGCGACACAUCAGAAUUUCUAGUAGGUGGUGGUGUCGCAAAGUUACUCAUAACUGAAGGUGAAUCAAGUGUAGAGCUAGAUGGCAGUUCCUUACAUGUCCUCGUACUUGAGGGCAAGACUUUAGUUUUUGGAGCUCUCGGAUUCCUCAUAGUGAUCAACAGACGUAAAUCCCAAGUGACUCAGAGAAUAGAGCUAGGCCUCCACGACAGUGGCGCCAGAAAAUAGUCUUGAUAACCCACAAGUAUAGGGGAUCGCAACAGUUUUUGAGGGUAGAGUAUUCAACCCAAAUUUGUUAAUUCGACAGAAGGGGAAGCAAAAGAAUAUUCUCAAGUAUUAGAAGUUGAGCUGUCAAUUCAACCACACCUGAAAGACUUAGUAUGUGCAACAAAGUUUCAGUAGCAGAGUAGUGUGAUAGUAACAGUAGCAACGGUAACAGUAGCACCAGUAACAGCAGUAGCGGUAAUAGUAGCAGUAGUGACAAUAGUAGUGGUAAAGUAACGUAGCAAGGACUAGUAGGAAAAAACUCGUAGGCAUUGGAUCGGUGAUGGAUAAUUAUGUCGGAUGACAUUCAUCAUGUAUCAUUUAUAACAUGGGAUGAUUUGUAACUAGCUCUAGUUCGUCAAUGUAAUGUAGGCAUGUAUUCCGUAUAUAGUCAUACGUGCUUAUGGAAAAGAACUUGCAUGACAUCUAUUGGCCAUCCCUCUUGUGGCAGCGGGGUCCUAAUGGAAUCUAAGGGAUAUUAAGGUCUCCUUUUAAUAGAGAACCGGAACAAAGCAUUAGCACUUAGUGAAUACAUGAACUCCUCAUACUAUGGUCAUUUCCGGGAGUGGUUCCGGCUAUUGCCACUCCGGGGUUGCCGGGUCAUAACACAUAGUAGGUGACUACAACUUGCAAGAUAGGAUCAAGAACAGACAUAUAUUGAUGAAAACAUAAUAGGUUCAGAUCUGAAAUCAUGGCACUCGGGCCCUAGUGACAAGCAUUAAGCAUAGAAAAGUAGUAGUAACAUCAAUCUCACAACAUAGUGGAUACUAGGGAUCAAACCCCAUCAAAACUAACUCGAUUACAUGAUAGAUCUCAUCCAACCCAUCACCGUCCAGCAAGCCUACGAUGAGAUUACUCAUGAACGGUGAAGAGCAUCAUGGAAUUGGCGAUGAAGGAUGGUUGGAGAUGACGACGGCAACGAUUUCCCCUCUCCGGAGCCCAGAACGGACUCCAGAUCUGCCCUCGAGAGGAAGAACAGGUGGUGGCGGCGGCUCCGUGUCGUAAAACACGAUGAACUCUUCUCUCUUAAUUUUUUCUGGGUGAGAGAGACUAUAUAGAGCUGGAGUUGGAGGCGGGGGAGCCACGAGGGCCUCACAAGCCUGUGAGGCGCGGCCAGGGGGGCCGCGCCUCCUGGUCUUGUGGGCUCUUGGCUCCGUCCCUCCACGUAAUUCUUGCGCCAGUAUUUUUCAUAUAUUCCACAAAAAAUCCUCAUAAAUUUCGAGGUCAUUCCGAGAACUUUUAUUUUUGCGCAAAAACAACACCAUGGCAAUGUUGUUGAAAACAACGUCAGUCCGGGUUAGUUCCAUUCAAAUCAUGCAAAUUAGUGUCCAAAACAAGGGCAAAAGAGUUCGGAAAAGUAGAUACGAUGGAGACGUAUCAGAUCUUCGGCAGCACGACGGCGUGGUGUCGAUGGAGAGACGAGGUCUCCUGGCAGGGCUUCGCCAAGCACCGUGGGAGAGGAGGAAGAAGAGAGACAGGGCUGCGCCGAGAGAGAUGGAAAACCGUGUUCUCAAAGGCCAAAACCCCCCGCUAUAUAUAGGAGGAAGGGGGGGUGGCACCCCCUUUAGGGUUUCCCACCCUAAAGGGGGGCGGCAACCCUAGAUGGGAGAGGGGGUGGCGUCCGGGAGGGGGAGAGGGGGUGGCGCACCCCUGGUGGGCCUUAGGCACACCAGACUUAGGGUUUCCCCCCUUUCCCUCUCUAUGCGCCUUGGGCUAUGUGUGGGAGGCGCACCAGCCCACCAGGGGCUCGUUCCCUCUCACACUUGGUCCAUGUAGCCUCCUGGGGCUGGUGGACCCUCCCGGUGGGCCUCCGGAACCCUUCCGGUGGUCUCGACACUUUGCCGGUGGCGCUCGAAACAUUUCUAGCGUCCAAACCCAUACAUCUAUAUAUCAAUCUUUACCUCCGGAUCAUUCUGGAGCUCCUCGUGAUGUCCGGGGUCUCAUCCGGGACUCCGAACAACCUUCGGUAACCUCGUAUUGCAAUUCCCUAUAACCCUAGCGCCAUCGAACCUUAAGUGUGUAGACCCUACGGGUUUGGGAGGCAUGCAGACAUGACCGAGACACUCUCCGGCCAAUUACCAUAAGCGGGAUCUGGAUACCCAUGGUGGCUCCCACAUGUUCCACGAUGAUCUCAUCGGAUGAACCACGAUGUCAAGGAUUCAAUCAAUCCCGUAUACAAUUCCCUUUGUCUGUCGGUAUAGAACUUGCCCGAGAUUCUAUCGUUGGUAUACCCAUACCUUGUUCAUUCUCGUUAUCGGUAAGUCUCUUUACUCGUUCCGUAGCACGUCAUCCUGUGACUAACUCCUUAGUCACAUUGAGCUCAUGAUGAUGUUCUACCGAGUGGGCCCAGAGAUACCUCUCCGUCACACGGAGUGACAAAUCCCGAUCUUGAUUCGUACCAACCCAACAGACACUUUCAGAGAUACCCGUAGUGCACCUUUAUAGUCACCCAGUUAUGUUGUGACGUUUGAUACACCCAAAGCACUCCUACGGUAUCCGUGAGUUGCACAAUCUCACGGUCUAAGGAAAAGACACUUGACAUUAGAAAAGCUUUAGCAUACGAACAACAUGAUCUAGUGCUACACUUAGGAUUGGGUCUUGUCCAUCACAUCAUUCUCCCAAUGAUGUGAUCCCGUUAUCAAUGACAUCUAAUGUCCAUGAUCAGGAAGCCAUGAUCAUCUAUUGAUUAACGAGCUAGCCAACUAGAGGCUUGCUAGGGACACAUUGUGAUCUAUUUAUUCACACAUGUAUUACUCUUUCGUGUUAAUACAAUUAUAGCAUGAACAGUAGACGAUUAUCACGAACAAGGAAAUAUGAUAAUAACCAUUUUAUUAUUGCCUCUAGGGCAUAUUUCCAACAGUCACAACAGAUGGGGACGAUGGACCUAUUGUUGACAUUGUGGAUAGGUCGAUGACCUUGCCGAAGCAUCGAAGGAUGCAAGCAAGUUUCUCAAUGUCCUCCUUGAUGGGGCUCAUAAAAACUGUCGCAACGUCAUCUCCAAAGAGAGCCGUUCUCAAGAUGGCACGAGGGGGGCGAAUCUUGUGCAGAAGACCCCAUUGCAAAAUCAAGAAGUUGUUGGAGUGGGUCAAAGGGAAUGACAAAAAGUAGCGGGGAGAAUGGGUCUCCUUGCCGAAGGCCUCUAGUAUCCUUGAUAGGGGAGCCAACCACACCAUUGAGAAGGACUCUCGUGGAGGAGGAGUGCAAUAAGGUUGUGUCCCAAUCUCUAAAUUUGCUCGGGAAACCUCUCCGUUGAAGGAGCUCAAGAAUAUACUCCCACUAAAGCGAGUCCAAACCCUUGAAAACGUCAAGCUUGAGAAAAACGAUGAAAAUUGCUUUUGUGGUGUCUCCUUGCAUGGUUGCACACGUACAUGAAGUUGUCAUGGAUGCUUAUUAUCUAGAUGAAAGCACUUUGAGCAUGAAAGCUUAAAGUGUUCUUGUGAGGGCCGAGCCGCAUGGCAAUGAUUUUUUUGCAACAAAAUUCGUGAAAGAGUGGACAAGGCUAAUCAUAUUAUAGUCCCCCACACCAUCCACACCUUGCUUUUCAGCAAGAGAACAAUGUUAGCGGAUAUGAGGAACAAAAAGGUUGCGACAUCAAGAUUGCCAAUGUCAUUGAUGGUCCUCAUAAAGUCAUCUUUAAUGAUGCCCCAAACACUUCUUGAAGAAGGCGCCGACAAAACCAUCAGUACCGGGAGCUUGUCACUAGGGAUAUGAUUGAUAACAUUGUGAACCUCCUCGAUAAAAGCAUCAAGCUCCUCCAGGACACAAUACACAAUGUUAAAGUCAUCCCAAUUGAAAUACAGUUGGCUUGAUCUGAGCUUUGCCAGUGGCAUAGGAGAAGUAGUCAUGGAUAAUGGUCUCCUUAUGAUCAUGGUCGGUGGCCCACUCAUUGUUAUGAUAGAGACGACGUAUGCAUUUUUUCUCCUUCUAACAUUGAUGAGGUGGUGGAAGGAUUUGGUGUAACCAUCACCACCACCCUUCAAGAUCGCAAUACAAACACAUGGCUUCUUCCUAGUACGCUCAAGAGAUGCCAAGGUUAUAACCCUCCUUUCGAGCCUUGCACAAAUAUCAAGUCCGGACAGAGAGAGUAAACGAUCCUCUUGUGCAAUGUCAAGGCGAAAAAUAACCCAAAGAGCGGUGUCAUAUGUCUUAAUGUAUCUAUACUUUUUUGAUUGUUUUAGGAUAUGUGGUAUCUCACUUUGGCAUAGUUUUAAUACAAAUUUUAUUUAUUAUCUAGAGUAAUAUAUUAAUCCAUUGACGUGUGCCAACUGCUAUCUUUUGCAUGUUUUGGGACUUUCUCGAAAAUCAAUUUUACACACCUAACAAUAUGAAAGAUAUACUACAUAAUUUUUUUUGCAUCGAGAAGGUCCGGAAGGACACUGGACACACCGAGCCUAUGGGCUCCAUGCGUCCAAGUGGCAUGGGCAAGGGAAGGCCACGUGAGUCACCAAGGUAUCCUCUUCAUAGCCCCUCGAGAUCACUGCCUUUAUAUUUGCCCGAAAACCCUGAUUUUCUCACGAGGACGUUUCGGCUGCAACACCUCUUUAUUCUAAAGCUAUCCAAUCUCGAGGCAUUCUUCGAUACUCUGUCAGAAAAGGAAAUCAUCUCACGGGCCAUCUACAUCAACCUUGUUACCAUCAUGAUCAACCGUGAGUAGUUUCCCUUAGACAAUAGAUCCAUAGUAGUAGCUAGAUGUCUUUCUCUCCAUUGUUUCUCACUACAAAGAUUUCUUGAGCUUCCCAACUUGAAUGUGAUCAAUCUGAUGUAUUCUCUUGGAGUGCUUGUUGGAGUGUGAUGUAAUCUAUCCAUGAUUUAUAUUUGGAUUCUUACAGGACCGACCCUGAGGGAGGGGGCAAGAGGGGCAGCCGCCUAGGGCCACCUGAUGCCAAGCCUCCCCACCCCCGACGAUCCUUAUUCUGUGCUUUUAUGGGCCUCGCCCCCGAUCGGAGUGCUGAAGUAUUUAACCAUCAUGUAAAUUGAAUGUGUAGAUCCUUCCUACUGCGAUCAAGUAAUACUAGAUCAAUUACUCCAUGCGAUUAAUUAGGAGUAGUUAUGGCAAAAACGCAUGUGAUUUUCCUUCCUUAAUACAGCAGUCGAACAUUGUGCGACCAAUUGAUUUUUAUUGGAAGGUGUGCACCCAAUUCUUGGACUAAAAAAAUAGCAUACAUCGAGGCCAAGGGAUCGCUAGAAAAGGAACAAAUCAAGCGGAAGGGGCCAAUGCUACACGCGACAGCAGUGGGACGACACACAUGCAUUUGGUGUGUUUUCAUGGUGGCGCCUCCAGUUGGAUCAGAGUCGUACUGCCGGAGAUAUCCAUGUUACUUCCUUCCAUGCGACCUCACUGACUUGCUGAGAGGCCUCGCGAUCCAUGAGCGCCCAGAUUGCUCGCGGCGGCAUCCAGCCGAAACGUAUUGUGCCACGCAGUACGGGGCAGAUGGCUGUCGGAGAAGGACUAGUUUGAAGAUGCACGCAAAUGCAUCGCGUCGCAGGUGGGCAGCCCAUCCGUGUCCAGCAGAGCGUCCUGCAGCCACGCCGAAUCAUCGAUGAUGAAGCUGGGGGAACCAAACAAGAUCUCUCCACCGAGUGUCAUCACGAUGACUAGGAAAUCACCACCUGUGUCGAAAAUCGCUAGACGAUUUGCCCCCAUGAUGUGCGUCAAAUGUCGUGGGAGUGAUCCUGACAAUGAGUAUGGGGAUACAAAUGAAGGGGGAGCCUAGUGUUAGAGCAUAUUUCUCCAUAUGUGGUUUUGGUAAUUGAUGACAAUUCCUAUGGACUAAUGGUUGCCUUAAGUUAUAUUUAUAGAUUUGUCCAUAGGCACUUCUUGAAGUCCAUCUGUUGGGUUCAAGGAGUUUAUAUGAUGACCAAGAUGGUAUUCAAGGUAUUAUCCAAAGAAUGAUCAUAGAGACACAAGGUUGAUCAAGAUCUCAGACAAAGAGUAAAUCAAUAUGAUCAACACACAAAGCGUACAAGAUGUACCGAGAAGGAUCAAGUGAUCCCAUGGUAUGGUAAGCAUUGUCCAUUACGUGUUUGUGUACUAACCCAUGGUCUUCGUGAGAGUUCUAUGUGGGGUUAGGUGUGUCUCCAUGGGCUUGCGUCUAGAGGAAGAUCUCAUACAACCCAUGAAGGAUGACGUCAAGUGGUGAUCGUCAUCAAGAUUGCGGUGUGCAAGUUCAAGUGGAUCAGCAUGAAGAUAUCAUGCUUGAAGCGUGCCGUCCAUUGUGGUGGCAAUGGACUUGUGAAGAUAUACUGAAGAGCGGAUCACCCAUGUUGUGUAUGGGGGAGCAAUCAACUAGUCUUCAUCAAGCCAACGCAAUCAAGAAGGUGGUCCAUCUUGAGGAAGCCAAGAUCAUCGUCAUCUAGCUCAAGAGGGCGAGGUGCAAGGUAUAGGUUUUCCCUUGAUAGGUUUUUUGUUUUAGGAUAGAUUGUCGUUCUGUCAAGGGGGGAGGGGGGCUCUCAAGUUAGUAGCUCGAUUGUAUCGUUCGUUGAGAGCUCAAACCAUUUCCAUCCUUGCAUCAUACUUGUUGGUUCAUAUUUGGUGUUCCUCUUUGUGAGUUUUAGAGCUUAUGGUCAUCUUCAUGACAAGCUCGAGUUCAUAAAAAACGGAGUCCAUAUGCAUCUACUAUGAUAUUUUAGAUGUUGGAGUUUUUGCCGGUUCUUCAUUCAUAGAGGUAUCACAUCUCUAUAUCAUUGGCAUUUUCAUAUCUGCAUGGUCUCACGUAUCUAUAUCAUUCAUAGAGGUCUCACAUGCUCUUGUCGUCCUGAAUACAACAAGCUUGGGUUUGCUCGAUUCGGAGCUCGUAUGUGAAAGUUAUGGUUGUUUCAGUGGCGAGCGGUAGUACCGCUCCAGUCCUAGCGGUAGUACUGCCAGGGGCAGCGGUAGUACCGCUCCGGGUGGGCGGUACUACCUCUCUCUGAGCGGUUGUUCUCUGUCAUACUUUUUGCGAAGACUUACUUUAGCGGUAGUACCACGAGGGGCUAGCGGUAGUAUCGCCAGGGCUAGCGGUAGUACCGCUCCUCCCUGAGCGAUAGUACCGUUGGGGGCAGCGGUAGUACCGCUGUGCACAGGCUGUAAGUGGGGGUAACGGUCUGAUUCCUUCCCCCACUAUAUAAAGGGGGUCUUCUUCCCCCUUGGCCUUAUCUAUCCGUUGAGCUCGUGUUCUUCCCCCAUUGUUGACCUUCUUAGAGCUUGAUAACUCUCAAUCCCUCCAAUGAUUCUUGCUAGUUCUUGAGGGAAAAGAGAGAGGACAUCUAGAUUCACAUCUCCACCAAUAACUUUAUCCUCUAUGGGAGGGGAACCCCUUGGAUCUAGAUCUUGGAGUUCUUUGUGAGCUCCGUGUUCUUCCUCUCAUAUUUCUCCAUAGCUUUUGUUGUUGUGGAGGGAUUUGAGUGUGAGGGACUUGACCACUUCGUGUGUUCUUGCCAUUGCAUUAGUUGCAUCGGUUGAGUUCUCCACGGUGAUACGUGGAAGUGAGAAGUUGAGAAGCUUAUUACCCUUUGGUACUUAGUACCCUAGAUAUUGUUCUUCGUGGAUGUGUUGGCGUCCUAGAAGCUUGGUGGUGUCUCGGAGCUCAAUCAUUGUGGUGUAAAGCUCUGGGCAAGCGUCGGGGUCUCCAAUUAGGUUGUGGAGAUUCCCCGAGCAAUUUGUACGGGUACCGGUGACCGCCCCCAAGGGUUGCCAUUUGUACGGGUUUGGUGACCGCCCUCAAGGGUCCCUUAGUGGAAUCAUGGCAUCUUGCAUUGUGCGAGGGCGUGAGGAGAUUACGGUAGCCAUAGUGGCAUCUUGGGGAGCAUUGUGCCUCCACACCGCUCCAACAGAGAUUAGCAUCCGCAAGUGUGUGAACUUCGGGAUACAUCAUCGUCCCCGCGUGCCUCGGUUAUCUCUUACCCAAACCCUUUACUUAUGCACUUUACUUUGUGAUAGCCAUAUUGUUUCUUGUCAUAUAUCUUGCUAUCACUUAGUUGUUUAUCUUGCUUAGCAUAAGUUGUUGGUGCACAUAGGUGAGCCUAGUUGUUUUAGGUUUUGUGCUUGACAUAUUAAACGUUAGUUUUAUUCCGCAUUUGUUCAAGCCUAAACCGUAAUUAUUUUAAAGCGCAUAUUCACCCCCCUCUAGGCUACAUCCACGUCCUUUCACCUAGCUACCUACGACACAGGUGUCUCACUCGGAUUUUACAAGUUUGGGCCCCUCUCAGAGAGGUAAAAACCCUACGUCUCGUGUCCAGAGGCUUAGCUUUGUCUGGGGUGUCUGAUUACAUUAAAUGCUUAACCCUUGCCACAGAGCUCGAGGGCGGCUUAUAUAGAGUGCGCAAGAACCCGUCGAGCACCAUUACAAGGGCAUUAAAUACGAGUAAAUGUCGGCGUUACUAGAAACUAUAGUAUUAACUAGAGUUGUUAGUGUGGCCUGAUUGUACUUUAUGUAUGGUUUUAAGUUCCUCGGUCGUUGAAGCUAUCGCGUCGUCCAUGUUCACUUCUAUCCGAGUGUUGAAGUCCGACCGACUGGUUGGAGGACAUCUGAGUGACCCCAUGGGUCCGAGUGGAUCUAGCGUGCAGAUCCGAAUGUGCCUGUAGUACUGAGACCUUAGUGACCAUGUGGGCCCAUAGGUUGGCCCUGGAUGUCUGAUCCAUGACCCUACCACUAGUAGGUAACUCCAUGAGGCGUUGGUGUUGGGUUUGGAGGUGGUGGAAGGGGGCUUCGGUAAAGAUGCUGGAGGUGCGUUUGGAGGUGGUGUCUGUUUCAGCCAUGGUGUUGGAGGUGGCAAACCAUGCGGAUGGCGGCGACGGUGGCGAUGGUCGUGCUACGGGUGGCGGUGCUCGUUCUCCAGUCCAAGUUAAAUAUGGUGGUGCUUGUUCUCCGAUCCAAGUUCACGAAGAUGGUGGUGCUACGCGAGUACGCGAGGUGGUGACGAUCUUCACAACAAUGAGGAUGUUGCUUGAUUUCUCCAUGACCGGUGGUCCUUUUAGCAUCUGUUGUUCUGUUUGAUCGUACAUUUGUAAGGCUAAACUUGUUACCUCGUAUAUUGCGCAUGAUUUUAAUAUAUAUAUUAUAAAGGGAUUUUUAUUUUUGUGCCCCUCGUUCGUUAGUUCUACUCAUUCAUCCCCACACUCUUCACUUUUGCUCACUUUUCCCCACUCCCUUGCUCGAAACCCUCAGAACAGGUUACAACGGACGUUGCCGUCGGGUGAGUGCUUUGACCUUAACUCUGACGAGUGGGGCCGCGUAGGGCGCAUGCAACUGACCGCGGUCGUGGGGUAGCACGUGUCGAUGGGGGCAGUCGAUGGGACAUGCCCGAAACGUCCCAUCGUAUAAAGAGGGGGAAGCACCUCCCAGCGCAUGGCUCCUACCAUUUCCCCGAAAUCCCCUCCCUGUUGCAUCGUCUUCCUAUCCCCAACCGACAUCAUAUCGCUCUCCUUCACUGCCGUCUCGUUAUCUCCCACCGCAUCCUCUUCCUCGCCUUCAUAGCCUCCAUCUAUCCGAUGGCGGAUGCUCAUGGCGACGCCGGCGCAGCGGCCGGAGAUAUAUUGGAGGUGGAGGACGCGGUGACCGCAGAUGAAGUGAAGGAUGUUGGUGGCGUCCACGACGGUGCGGGGAAACUCGCAACCACUGCGGGUGUGGAGUAGGAGGUGGCGGUCUCCCCCUCAGUGCUGCCUGAGCAGAAGGUGACAGCGUCCAGCGGCGCAGUCCAUCCCGAUACCCGCGAUGCGCAAUCUGGGGAGGAGCAGGAGAUAUUUGCACUUGCUUGUUAGUUGCAAUAUUUAGGAUAUUAGCUUGUAGAUUUAGUUGCAUUGGUCAGAUUGUGAUUCAUACGGCAGUACAGAUGGUUAGAGUAGUUGGUUGGAUGGAUGGGCCGGGGUUUUCUAUAUGGGGGGAUAGGGUUUUUUCGUUGCAAAAAUGCUAGAUAGAUCUGUGUCACGCCCAAGAUGCGACCCUAUCCUCAAUUUGGCACGAAGACCUCGUCAGGGAUAGAAGCGCAUCUCGUCGUGUCACAAGAAUGGAUAUCGUUACGAGUACAUGUACUAAAAAGAAGAGAUAUAUAGAUAGAAUUGGCUUACACUCGCCACAAGCUACAUCAGAGUCACAUCAGUACAUUACAUAAUCAUCAAGAGUAAGAGCAGGGUCCGACUACGGACGAAAACAAACGAGAAAAGAAGAAUGACGUCCAUCCUUGCUAUCCCAGGCUGCCGGCCUGGAACCCAUCCUAGAUCGAUGAAGAAGAAGAAGAAAAAGCAACCCCAAAUGAACAAUCAACGCGCUCGCGUCUAGUAACCUUUACCUGUACCUGCAACUGGUGUUGUAGUAAUCUGUGAGCCACAGGGGACUCAGCAAUCUCAUUUCCAAAGGUAUCAAGACUAGAAAAGCUUCAUGGGUGAGGCAUUGUUAAGUGGUGAGGUUGCAGCAGCGGCUAAGCAUAUAUUUGGUGGCUAAACUUACGAGUACAAGAAAUAAGAGGGGGAAGAUCUACGCUUAGCGGACGUGAACUACGGAUGAUCAAAUGAAUGAUCCUGAACACCUACCUACGUCAGACAUAACCCCACCGUGUCCUCGAUCGGAGAAGGAACUCACGAAAGAGACAGUCACGGUCAUGCACACAGUUGACAUAUUUUAAUUAAGUUAACUUCAAGUUAUCUAUAACCAGUGUUAAACAAAGUUUCCACGUUGCCACAUAACCGCGGGCACGGCUUUCCGAAAGAUUUAACCCUGCAGGGGUGCUCCAACUAGUCUAUCACAAAUUACCACAAGCCGCAUAGAAAUCCUCAAUCACGAAGCUGGCGAUCUUGUCGGAUUCCCUAGUUGAAAACCGCAACUCUGAGAUUACCCAAAGCAUCACCGGAAUCCCGAUGCACAAGAUAUUCCGUCAAAGGUAAAACUAAACCAGCAAGGCCGUCCGACGUGUCAACGAUCCCGAUAGGAACCGCGUAUCUCGUUCUCAGGACACGACGGAUAAGCACAGCGUACGGUGGCCUGAUAGUAAUCUCCCGAGUUGCCCCGGGUUGGCCCCGCAAACGACUCUAGUUUUGGACCAGCACCAACAGCACUGGCCCCCCUGUAUUAUGUGAAAUUACUCCUCGGGUUCAUGACGCCCUAUGCUUUCAGUAUUAACAAGUUAUUAUGUUGGGCAAAUGUAGUACCAAUGUUGGGCCUUGCCAGACCAGCUUUAAUCUAAAACGAAUUAUCAAGGCGGUCCCCAUAACAACCCCGAUCGUGUUAGGAGCGCUCGUUUAUGGAACAUAACACCGGUAGCCGAAACUAAGGGCGGCAAAGGUGGAACAAAACACCAAGCUAGAAAGGCCAAGCCUUCCACCUUUUACCAAGUAUAUACGUGCAUUAAAAUAAAUAGCAUUUAAUAUGGUGAUAUGACAAGGAACCCAUGUUAACACAUGGAAGCAACUUCACCUGCAACUAGCAAUGUUAACAACAAGGUUAAGCAGACGAACCAACGUAGUCGAACGGGUCCUCACAUUCCGACACGCUUGCGGAACUCUAUCGAGACGGAGCAAACCGGAGAAAAACAUCAACACAGAUAUUCACCACACGAUGCACAACAUGAUGCAUAACCUACUAUGAUGCAUGAUCAGUUCAAUGAUGCAAGGGAUGGCAUGGCAAUUCACCUCACACAAACUCUACACAUUAAGUGAAGCUCGAUAUGCAACGAGUUGCAUACCGACGGAACUCCACGUUUAAUUUUUUAAUUCACUCCCGUUUAUUUACACGGCAAUAUUAAAUUGUUGUUAACAUGGCAAGGGGUGAAGUGGUGAUCCUACAUGGCAUCCUAGACGGUUUAACUCGCGGAACAUAGAACGGAUCUACAGCACAAAAGACAUGCAACACAAUAUAUAUGCCAUGAAUGCGUCAUGCAUGCAAGUUCACAACAACACGGGCAAGAAGAGAAGAAGCAGGUGUCGCCACGGCGAGCGAGAGGGAACCAAGGCGGCAAAACGGAGACGAUGCCAUGGCAACAUUUCAGUCCCGAUAACUCGAAGAGGUAUCGGUGCCAACGAAUUGUGAGCGUGUGCGUGUCAUGCCAAAGAAUGAUGGGGUGAUCCACGGUUACGGGGUUCCCAUGUGUCGGGGCACGACAAAAGAGAAACAACAUGCAGCUAACAUGGCCUAUACGAAAUGGACAACAACACACUCAUACAACAAUGUGUGCCUCGAAAAUAAUAAAAUCACACCAGAGAAAUAUAUACAUGGCCGAAUUACAACAUAGUGUAUAGGGCCAGAAUUGUAUCAAGCCCGAGGGGCUGAGUGUGCAACAAGUGGCCUAGUCAAAAACAAGAAAAAAUGUUGGAGCAUCCUGGAUUCGAACCCAGGACCUCCCUGGUGCUUGCGCUGCUCACUGACCAACUGGUUACAACAGACUGUGACAAAACCCUCGCUAAAUACCUAUGUAAGGAGCUAACCUGAACCAAAUAAAUAAACAAAAGGAAAAAAUAGGGUUGUCUGGGAUUCGAACCCAGACCUCCCGGCUGGAUACAAGGGCGCUAACCACUGCGUUGGUACAAGUGCUUAUGCAAAAAUGUGGGUGUUAAUUAUUCUAAACUAACUCCACUGCUAGGUCUUCUCACCAUCGAUUCGUGAAGAACCUGUCGUGACGGAAGUCAAUAGCAGCUGCGGCUGUAGUAGCGGGGGCCGGUGGGGGAGGCUCUGGUGACGCCGUCUCUGGCCGAGGUCGCCGGAUCCGGCCCUUGCUAGGUCCUGCGGCGCGGGGGCGAGGCGAGCUGGGGCCUGUGGUGGUGCCCCCGCGAGGCUCCGACUAGCAAGGUGUGGCGGGGGAUGCGCGCUGCACAAACUUGAGACCGGGGACCACGAAUCCGCCAUGGCUGCCUGGACCUAGAGAAUACAGAGAGAAAUUAGGGAGGGAGAGAGGAAGAACGGGAAGGCACAAGAAGGAGAGGUCCGACGAGGCUUCCUGGGGGUUCAACGCCGGCGCGGGGCUCCUGGAUGCGGCGGGGUCGACGAGGCACUGGGGCAUGUGGAGCACGGGGCCGAGCCUCGGGAGUGGGGCCAUGGCUGCGGGAGGAGAGGCGGCGCGCGAGGCACAACAGGCGGCGGGCAGGCGAGGGCGAAGACACGGGAGGAGAUGGGGAUCGAAGGAAAGGGGGGAGACGACGCAGGAGGGACGAGGGGAUCGGGCUCCUGGCGCUAGGGCAAGAGAAGCUUGGGCCUGGCCUGCCAGCUGGGCCUCCUUCCUACUCUGUGUUUUUUUACUUUGAAAACAGAAAAAAAUCUUAAACAAAGGAAAACUUUUAACAAUAAUAAAAAAAUAAAAAUAAAAUAAAAUGCUUUUGCUCCUUUGAAAAUUAUACCCAACUAUAAAAUAGAUUGGGCUUUUUAAAACAAAUAAAAAAGAAACCUUUUUUUAAGAAUUAAAAUAAAACCCUUUUUAACAAGAGAAUAAAACCCUUUUCUUACAAAAGAAUAAACCAAACCCCUUUGAAGAAAUAAAUAAAACCUCUUUAUUUAAAGAAUAAAAUAAGAGCUCUUUAAAGGAGAAAAGAAAAUGAGACGGGUUUUUAGAAAAAUAAACAAAAGGGAAAAUAAAGGAAACCCAAGGGGUGGCCCCACAUUUAACAAAAGGUUUUUUUUGAAAGAAGAUGCUUUUUUUAAAAAUAGGGGUUUAAACAAAGACUUCAGCAAAACCAUAAAAAACGAAAUAAGAGGGGUGAGGGGAAGUUACUAUCGCACUAUGACUCGGUGAACACUCGAAGCACAACACUCAAAACACCACACGCGACAUACGAUGCAAGAUGCCAUGCAUGAUGCGACGAUGCAAACUAAAUGAUGAUGCAACUAAUAAAACUAAUCACACGACGGAAACAGAAAUAACAGGGGAAUCUUCUUGGGCGUCGGUCUCGGGCUGUCACAACUCUCCUACACUACACGAGCAUCUCGCCCCGAGAUCCAAGAAUGAAAGGGGGAGAGGAUGAGAAAGAACAAGAUGUAAAACUUAGUCGCUUCUUUGACAAACGAGUGAAACCAACGAUCCUUGAAAGUUGCAAAGAGAUGAGGAAUGAUAUGAGAAAGGGGCAAGAAUUCACGGAAAAUUUCAGCAGCACUUCGGUAGGAAAAUGGGACAAAAAAAUUCGAUAAGAAGAGAGAAUUAUACAAUAUACAUGACACACAACUAAAUAGAACAAGGGAACACCAUGAUCUUGAUAGAACAACAUAAUAGACCCAAAAGAGCAACAUCACAAAGCCUCCGGAACAAGAGAAUAGGAACUAGCUCAAGCGGAAGAAGAGGAUGAAGAAAGAAUGCCAACUAUCAUCACAAUAGAAUCGAAGAGCCUCCGGACAGAGAAUUGACGUUGUAGUUGAGAACCAAUAACGAAAAACAAGAUAGUAGUGGGCUUAAGAAAAUCAUCUCAACAAAUAUGAGGUGACAACCAACCACUAAAAGAAACAAGGAUAGCUGCAAGUAAAGAUAUCAAAACUUCUUACACCAAGAGGGUGCAUUGAGAACUUGGAUUAAUGACAAGCACCACAAUAGCAACAAUCCAUAGGAAAAGCUUUAGGUGAAAUCCAAACCAAGAUAGCUCAAUGAAGAAAUCAUGGGUUGAAAUAUCUCAUGAUCAUAGAAUUGGCGGGUUUAAUUAUCUCAUCUUGAGAGGCAAUCUCUUCGAGACUCCUACACUAACAAGAAUGCUAUAAUACCACCCCAAAGGAUAAAGGAAGAACAAUUGCACAUAUAAAUGCAAGAGAAAGGAUACUAGAGGUUCUCCAACAAGAAUCUUGAAGAACACUUCAGAACGAAUUGAAACCUUGAUGAACCACCAUGAAGGACCACCGUAUACACAUGAAUGAUGCAAAGAUAUCAAGGAAGAAAAGAAUAAGAUUAUGACCUUGCCAGGAUUUAGAUGAAGCUUCACAAAGAGAUAGUUGAUAAAACUUGGAACUCCGGAAAAGAAAAGAUAAGAACACUUGAGAAAAGAAUUGAUAUCGUGAGCCACUCCGGAAGAAGAAUUCAGAUUACUAUGAAGAGAAUAAGAAUUAUGUUAUGCUUAUCCUUCAUCAAGUAUAAUUGAUGACAAGUCACGGAUUUAGCAUACCACUUAUUCCUCUUGAAAGAAUCUGGAAGAGAUAGAGAGAUAAGCACCACUUGAAGUAUAAACGAAGGAAACACCGGUAAGAAUUCACAAUUAAAUGGGAACACCACGAAUUAAUGGAGAUACAUGAAAAUGAAGAGAUCAUAAUCCACCUAACAGAAAACUAGAACAAGGCACCGGAUGAACGAGAGACGAACGAAGAGACAACAAUUGAGAAGAAUUGAGGAUGAAAGCUGAAAGUUGAGAACGAAAAAUCUUCUGAAAUGAUGGCCUUCGGAGGAUCGAGAAUGAAAACAAUUCAGAAAAGCAUCGGAUAGCACGAAAGGAAUUACUCAUGAUUGACAACAAAUGAGAGGAUACACGAAGCUGAGAUUAUAGUCUUCACAAGAAUGGAACAAGACUGAGAGAAACACUCCUUCGAAUUGCAAGCUGUGAAUGAUGACGAGAAACAACACCAAGAAUACUGAGACACUCCGGAAUAAAGAAGAAUGAAAGGUUGAGCCAAAGAAUGAAUUAAUUCAAAUAGAUCUUGAAGAAGGGAUAUGACUGGUAGAAAUCAUACUUACGUCAUAGUUGAAAAGAAUUAAUGAUCUCCGGGAAAAGAUUAAAAGAGCUAGAAAAGAUCCUGGGAAAGAACCUGUGGGUUAUGGGCCCACUGAAAAGAAAACACCGUUGGAAAGAUUGCUUAGAAGAGAGAUAUUGCACCGGUAUAAAUGACAACUAGAUGAGGCUGAGCACCUUGAAAUAAAUGAAAGAAUUGAAAACAAGAAUUUCUGAAAUAUCUUUAACACUCCGGAUAGAAAGAGAGAGGAAUUAAUAACAAGAUAGUGUGAUAAAAAUUCCCAACAAAGGAAAGAAUUACAAGGAUGAAUGGAUAUGAUGAACACAGACAACUGGAUCAAAUUCACCGUGAAGGAACAAAAUGAAGAAAUGAUGAACUCGACUCCUGACAAUCUUCACAAUGAAUCACCGGUUACGAAAGGAAGAAAAGAUAGCGGAAGCAUCAUUGAAAUGAAAUGCAGUUGGAUGAAAUCCAAUCACUGAAGAAAAAGGGCGGGAGGGCGGGGAAAAACAAAGACAACUUGGGCUAGAUGAGAUGAACUCCGGAAUAAAAUGAGAGAAUGAUCUUGCAAAAAUUGGAGAGGAUUGACUCCACUUGGAGAGAAACACACCGGUUGAAAAGAAUUGAUAUAAAAACUCCGGUUGACAAGAAUUGAUAAGACGAUUGAUUGAGCAAAACGAUUAGCACUCUCAUAUGAAUAUGAGAACACUGCUUAGAAAAGAUCUAAAAUCACCACUUGACAUCGAAACAACUUGAAUUACCAUAUUCCAACAAAACAAAGGGUGAGGCUUAUGAAACAAGCCAGAACAAACUCAUGAGAAAGAUUUCGUCCGAUAUCUUCGUGGACGGAAUCCACUAGAUGUCGAACCCCAACCUAACAUCAUGCAUUUGUUGGAAGAUUAUCCUAUAAGUAACUACUUGAAUUCCCACCUAUGAAUUCCUGAAAUAUCUGGUCAUGCAAUCUGGUACACGGAUACAAGGAGUAAUAUCACACAACUCCUAUACUAACCCGUAACCUGUAUCACAUCCGUCAACACACAACCAGAAUCUCGGACCUUCAUCUAAAACAGACCCUCAUGAUCACAAUGAUACAAAGUAUGGCAGUACUCCCGAACAAUCUACACCAGUACUGGGGACAUCGGGGGUUAUCUCGCCACUACUAGUAUUGAAGCAAUUACGAACAUCCUUCGUUCUGAGAUACUCAGAAAUCUGAAUGAUAACGAUGUGCUCAAGAAUCCCCUGGAGCUCAACUCCCCUGAAACUUAAAGCAGAUAGGAGGCACCAAGACAGAACUCCGUCACAUCGGCAUCAUAUAAAUCUCAAAAAUAUCCGCGUGAUCCUAAACAAUUUUAAGUGAGAAGAGGAGUAGAAUUAAAUUAUUACGUCAAGAUUCCUCACCAGAGCAUAGAAGAGGAGAAAAAAGAAUCCUACUCUCCGAUAUAUAACUAGACUCAAAGUAUUUUUUCGCUAGACUCGACUCGACCAAGUUCGAUUAAUCAAGGGGGCUCCUAGGUCGGUACGGCUCUGAUACCAACUUGUCACGCCCAAGAUGCGACCCUAUCCUCAAUUUGGCACGAAGACCUCGUUAGGGAUAGAAGCGCAUCUCGUCGUGUCGCAAGAAUGGAUAUCGUUACGAGUACAUGUACUAAAAAGAAGAGAUAUAUAGAUAGAAUUGGCUUACACUCGCCACAAGCUACAUCAGAGUCACAUCAGUACAUUACAUAAUCAUCAAGAGUAAGAGCAGGGACCGAGUACGGACGAAAACAAACGAGAAAAGAAGAACGACGUCGAUCCUUGCUAUCCCAGGCUGCCAGCCUGGAACCCAUCCUAGAUCGAUGAAGAAGAAGAAGAAGAAGCAACUCCAAAUGAACAAUCAACACGCUCGCGUCAAGUAACCUUUACCUGUACCUCCAACUGGUGUUGUAGUAAUCUGUGAGCCACAGGGGACUCAACAAUCUCAUUUCCAAAGGUAUCAAGACUAGCAAAGCUUAAUGGGUGAGGCAUGGCUAAGUGGUGAGGUUGCAGCAGCGGCUAAGCAUAUAUUUGGUGGCUAAACUUACGAGUACAAGAAAUAAGAGGGGGAAGAUCUACGCUUAGCGGGCGUGAACUACGGAUGAUCAAAUGAAUGAUCCUGAACACCUACCUACGUCAGACAUAACCCCACCGUGUCCUCGAUCGGAGAAGGAACUCACGAAAGAGACAGUCACGGUUACGCACACAGUUGACAUAUUUUAAUUAAGUUAACUUCAAGUUAUCUAUAACGAGUGUUAAACAAAGUUUCCACGUUUCCACAUAACCGCGGGCAUGGCUUUCCGAAAGAUUUAACCUUGCAGGGGUGCUCCAACUAGUCCAUUACAAAUUACCACAAGCCGCAUAGAAAUCCUCAAUCACGAAGCUCGCGAUCUCGUCGGAUUCCCUAGUGGAAAACCUCAACUCUGAGAUUACCCAAAGCAUCACCGGAAUCCCGAUGCACAAGAUAUUCCGUCAAAGGUAAAACUAAACCAGCAAGGCCGCCCGGAGUGUCAACGAUACCGAUAGGAGCCGCGUAUCACGUUCUCAGGACAUGACGGAUAAGCACAGCGUACGGUGGCCUGAUAGAAAUCUCCCGAGUUGCCCCGGGUUGGCCCCGCAAACGGCUCUAGUUUUGGACCAGCACCAACAGCACUAGCCCCCCUGUAUUAUGUGAAAUUACUCCUCGGGUUCAUGACGCCCUAUGCUUUCAGUAUUAACAAGUUAUUAUGUUGGGCAAAUGUAGUACCAAUGUUGGGCCUUUCCAGACCAGCUUUAAUCUAAAACGAAUUAUCAAGGGGGUCCCCAUAACAACCCCGAUCGUGUUAGGGGCGCUCGUUUAUGGAACAUAACACCGGUAGCCGAAACUAAGGGGGGCAAAGGUGGAACAAAACACCAGGCUAGAAAGGCUGAGCCUUCCACCUUUUACCAAGUAUAUAGGUGCAUUAAAAUAAAUAGCAUUUAAUAUGGUGAUAUGACAAGGAACCCAUGUUAACACAUGGAAGCAACUUCACCUGCAACUAGCAACGUUAACAACAUGGUUAAGCAAGCGGUAACAUAGCCAAUCAGUGGUUUGCUAGGUCGAAAAGGUUGAAGGUAAUCAUGGCAUUAUUGAGAGGCUGAUAUUUAACAGGUGGUAGGCAACGAGACAUAAUCGAAAUCAUCGAAAUAACUAGCAUGGCAAUGAUAGUAAUGGUAUCUGGGGAAAUGGUCAUCUUGCCUGAGAUCCUGCUUGUGAGAAGAAUGACUCCGUGAAGCAGACGAACCAACAUAGUCGAACGGGUCCUCACAUUCCGACACGCUUGCGGAACUCUAUCGAGAUGGAGCAAACCGGAGACAAACAUCAACACAGAUAUUCACCACACGAUGCACAACAUGAUGCAUAACCUACUAUGAUGCAUGAUCAGUUCAAUGAUGCAAGGGAUGGCAUGGCAAUUCACCUCACACAAACUCUACACAUUAAAUGAAGCUCGAUAUGCAACGAGUGGCAUACCGACGGAACUCCACGUUUAAUUUUUUAAUUCACUCCCGUUUAUUUACAUGGCAAUAUUAAAUUGUUGUUAACAUGGCAAGGGGUGAAGCGGUGAUCCUACAUGGCAUCCUAGACGGUUUAACUCGCGGAACAUAGAACGGAGCUACAGCACAAAAGACAUGCAACAUAAUAUAUAUGCCAUGAAUGCGUCAUGCAUGCAAGUUCACAACAACACGGGCAAGAAGAGAAGAAGCAGGUGUCGCCACGGCGAGCGAGAGGGAACCAAGGCGGCAAAACGGAGACGAUGCCAUGGCAACGUUUCAGUCCCGAUAACUCGAAGAGGUAUCGGUGCCAACGAAUUUUGAGCAUGUGCGUGUCAUGCCCAAGAAUGAUGGGGUGAUCUACGGUUACCGGGUUCCCAUGUGUCAGGGCACGACAAAAGAGAAACAACGUGCAGCUAACAUGGCCUAUACGAAACAGACAACAGCACACUCAUACAACAAUGCGUGCCUCUAAAAUAACAAAAUCGCAGCAGGGAACUAUAUGCAUGGCCGAAUUACAACAUAGUGUAUAGGGCCAGAAUUGUAUCAAGCCCGACGUGUGAGUGUGCAACAAGUGGCCUAGUCAAAAACAAGAAAAAUAAUUGGAGCAUCCUGGAUUCGAACCCAGGACCUCCCUGGUGCUAGCGCUGCUCACUGCCCAACUGGUUACAACAGACUGUGACAAAACCCUCGCUAAAUACCUAUGUAAGGAGCUAACCUGAACCGAAUAAAUAAACAAAAGGAAAAAAUAGGGUUGUCUGGGAUUCGAACCCAGACCUCCCGGCUGGAUACAAGGGCGCUAACCACUGCAUUGGUACAAGUGCUUAUGCAAAAAUGUGGGUGUUAAUUAUUCUAAACUAACUCCACUGCCAGGUCUUCUCACCAUCGAUUCGUGAAGAACCUGCCGCGACGGAAGUCAACAGCAGCUGCGGCUGUAGUAGCGGGGGCCGGUGGGGGAGGCUCUGGUGACGCCGUCUCUGGCCGAGGUCGCUGGAUCCGGCCCUUGCUAGGUCCUGCGGCGCAGGGGCGAGGCGAGCUGGGGCCUGCGGUGGUGCCCCGGCGAGGCUCCGACCAGCAAGGCGAGGCGGGGGAUGCGCGCUGCACAAACUUGAGACCGGGGACGACGAAUCCGCCAUGGCUGCCUGGACCUAGAGAACACAGAGAGAAAUUAGGGAGGGAGAGAGGAAGAAUGGGAAGGCACAAGAAGGAGAGGGCCGACGAGGCUUCCUGGGGGUUCAACGCCGGCGCGGGGCUCUUGGAUGCGGCGGGAUCGACGAGGCACCGGGGCAUGUGGUGCACAGGGCCGAGCCUCGGGAGCGGGGCCAUGGCUGUGGGAAGAGAGGCGGCGCGCGGGGCACAGCAGGCGGCAGGCAGGCGAGGGGGAAGACACUCGAGGAGAUGGGGAUCGAGGGAACGGGGGGAGAUGACGCAGGAGGGACGAGGGGAUCGGGCUCCUGGCGCUAGGGCAGGAGAGGCUUGGGCCUGGCCUGCGAGUUGGGCCUCCUUCAAAAAAAAUCUUAAACAAAGGAAAACUUUUAACGGGGGGGGGGGGGGGUAAAAUGCUUUUGCUUCUUUGAAAAUUAUACCCAACUAUAAAAUAGACUGGGCUUUUUAAAACAAAUAAAAAUGAAACCUUUUUUUGAGAAUCAAAAUGGAACCCUUUUUUAACAAGAGAAUAAAACCCUUUUCUUACAAAAGAAUAAACCAAACCCCUUUGAAGAAAUAAAUAAAACCUCUUUAUUUAAAGAAUAAAAUAAGAGCUCUUUAAAGGAGAAAAGAAAAUGGGACGGGUUUUUAGAAAAAUAAACAAAAGGGAAAAUAAAGGAAACCCAAGGGGUGGCCCCACAUUUAACAAAAGUUUUUUUUUAAAAAGAAGAUGCUUUUUUUUAAAUAGGGGUUUAAACGAAGACUUCAGCAAAACCAUAAAAACGAAAUAAGAGGGGAGAGUGGAAGUUACUAUCGCACUACGACUCGGUGAACACUCGAAGCACAACACUCAAAACACCACACGCGACAUACGAUGCAAGAUGCCAUGCAUGAUGCGAUGAUGCAAACUAAAUGAUGAUGCAACUAAUAAAACUAAUCACACGACGGAAACGAAAAUAACAGGGGAAUCUUCUGGGGCGUCGGUCUCGGGCUGUCACAAUCUGUAUGAGAGAUAGGGAUCUCUGUGCUUCAAUGCUACGCAUAUAUAUGCAUAUUAAAUUUGAUUUAAAUACUACACAAAUUGGGAUUUUUAAUGCUACAUACAUGUAUGCUUAUUAGAUUGGGUCCCUAUUAGAUUUGUUUUUGAAUGCUACGCAUAUUGAGGUUUUGAAUGUCAUGUGCCCAAAUGGAAUCCAUUGACUAAGAAGUUAUUUGAUUCAUUAGUAUAUAAAUUUGUCAACAAUAUGUAGUUAUAUUAGCUCUAUUGUUCAAUGUGUGUGCAUGACAAUGGAAAAUGCAAAUAACCCUAGUAUAUUAGCCCUAUGAUCAAUGUGUCAUGUGUGCAUCUCUAAAUUUUCAAUUGGCUUCUGUAUUUACUAGUGAUGGAUGUAAUUGUAUAUUCAGGAGGAUGAUGGAUGGGGGAAAAAGAGGAAGUUGGCCUUUACUGGGUUCGACCCAUACGAUCUAGAGUAUAGUGACGACGAAGAAUAUGAGGUAAGCCUACUUGAAAUUUAGAUUGUUCAUUUAGUUCCUUCGACAUGGUGUAUAUGAAUCUAUAAUGUAUUAAUGCAAUUCAUUCAUGUGUGCAGUAUGAUUCUGGAGAAGAUGUGUACAAGGGCAACCUCAAGUCCUUCAAAGCUAAGGAGGUGGAGAAGAUCAAGGCCAAGGGAGUUGCUUCCUUCUUCAACCGCAAGAUCAAGAAGUGGCGCUGCCCCUACUGCACCACCAAGCCAAAGCCAAAGGAUGGCUGCUUCGAUCACCUUGUGUCUCAUGCAGAGGAUGUAGCGAAUCGCGGGGAGGACUACAUCAUCAGGGGGGUAGCAUGCUACCCUCGCGAAGGCACUGACUUCGGUGUGAUGUGAUGAUGUGAUGAACUGAAUGUGGCAGCAUGUUUUAUCUUUAUCUUUUGGGUUACUUUUGGUAAACUGAAUGUGGCUGUUGUUGGCAAUAUACCCUAGAGGCAAUAAUAAAAUGGUUAUUAUCAUAUUUCCUUGUUCAUGAUAAUCGUCUAUUAUUCAUGCUAUAAUUGUAUUAACAGGAAACAGUAAUACAUGUGUGAAUAAAUAGAUCACAAUGUGUCCCUAGCAAGCCUCUAGAUGGCUAGCUCGUUACUCAAUAGAUGAUCAUGGUUUCCUGGUCAUGGGCAUUAGAUGUCAUUGAUAACAGGAUCACAUCAUUGGGAGAAUGAUGUGAUGGACAAGACCCAAUCCUAAGCAUAGCACUAGAUCGUAUUGUUCGUAUGCUAAAGCUUUUCUAAUGUCAAGUAUCUUUUCCUUGCAAUAAGUUUGGUAGGGAGGUACCAAAGUGAUCCCGGUAUGGAACACUGGACAGCGGUCAAGAAUAUCCUUAAGUACCUGAAAAGGACUAAGGAAAUGUUUCUCGUUUAUGGAGGUGACGAAGAGCUCGUCGUAAAGGCUUACGUCGGCGCUAGCUUCGACACAGAUCCGGAUGACUCUAAGUCACAGACCGGAUACGUAUAUGUGUUGAAUGGUGGGGCAGUGAGUUGGUGCAGCAGCAAUCAAGAAGUAGUGGCAGCAUCUACAUGUGAAGCGGAGUACAUAGCUGCUUCAGAAGCAGCUCAUGAAGGAAUUUGGAUGAAGGAGCUCAUCACCGACCUUGGAGUGGUUCCAAGCGCGUCGGGUCCAAUGAAACUCUUCUGUGAUAACACUGGGGACAUUGCCACAGCCAAGGAGCCCAGGUUUCACUGGAAGACGAAGCACAUCAAACCCCGCUAAAACUCCAUCCAGGACCAUGUCCAGAGUGGAGUGAUAGAUAUUUGUAAAGUACACACGGAUCUGAAUAUUGCAGACCCGUUGAGUAAACCUCUUCCACGAGCAAAACAUGAUCAACACCAUAAUGCUAUGGGUGUUCGAUACAUCACAGUGUAACUAGAUUAUUGACUCUAGUGCAAGUGGGAGACUGUUGGAAAUAUACCCUAGAGGCAAUAAUAAAAUGGUUAUUAUCAUAUUUCCUUGUUCAUGAUAAUCGUCUAUUGUUCAUGCUAUAAUUGUAUUAACAGGAAACAGUAAUACAUGUGUGAAUAAAUAGAUCACAAUGUGUCCCUAGCAAGCCUCUAGUUGGCUAGCUCGUUAGUCAAUAGAUGAUCAUGGGCAUUAGAUGUCAUUGAUAACGGGAUCACAUCAUUGGGAGAAUGAUGUGAUGGACAAGACCCAAUCCUAAGCAUAGCACUAGAUCGUAUUGUUCGUAUGCUAAAGCUUUUCUAAUGUCAAGUAUCUUUUCCUUCGACCGUGAGAUUGUGCAACUCCCGGAUACCAUAGGAGUGCUUUGGGUGUAUCAAACGUCACAACAUAACUGGGUGACUAUAAAGGUGCACUACGGGUACCUCCGAAAGUGUUUGUUGGGUUGGUACGAAUCGAGAUCGGGAUUUGUCACUCCGUGUGACGGAGAGGUAUCUCUGGGCCCACUCGGUAGAACAUCAUCAUGAGCUCAAUGUGACUAAGGAGUUAGUCACAUGAUGACGUGCUACGGAACGAGUAAAGAGACUUACCGGUAAAGAGAUUGAACAAGGUAUAGGUAUACCGACGAUCGAAUCUCGGGCAAGUUCUAUACCGACAGACAAAGGGAAUCGUAUACGGGAUUAAUUGAAUCCUUGAGAUUGUGGUUCAUCCGAUGAGAUCAUCGUGGAGCAAGUGGGAGCCACCAUGGGUAUCCAGACCCCGCUGAUGGUUAUUGGCCGGAGAGGUGUCUCGGUCAUGUGGGGCUGUCUCCCGAACCCGUAGGGUCUACACACUUAAGGUUCGGUGACGCUAGGGUUAUAGGGAAUUGUUAUACGAGGUUACCGAAAGUUGUUCGGAGUCCCGCAUGAUAUCCCGGACGUCACUAGGAGCUCCGUAAUGGUCCGGAGGUAAAGAUUGAUAUAUAGGACGGAUGGUUUCAGACACCGGAAGUGUUUCGGACAUCACCGGUAACGUACCGGGACCACCGGGACCAUCGGAGGUGGCCCCGGGGGUCCACCGAAGGGGGGCAACGACCCCGGGAGGUAAGGUGGGCCAAGUGGGGAAGGGAACCAGCCCUAGGUGGGCUGGUGUGCCUCCCCACUCAGCCCAAUGCGUGGGGGAGAGAAAAGGGGGGGGGCAAACCCUAAGCCAGGUGGGCCUAAGGCCCACCAGGGGUGCGCCACACCCCUUCUCCCCCCCCUUUGGCCGCCGCACCAGACCCCAUCUAGGGAUGCCGCCCCCCCUGGAGAGGGAAACCCUCAAGGGGGCGCAGCCCCUCCCUCCCCCUAUAUAUAGUGGGCACUUUUGGCCAUUGGAGAUCAGACUUUUGCCUCUCUCUCGGCGCAGCCCUGCCCUUCUUCCUCCUCCUCUCUGCCGGUGCUUGGCGAAGCCCUGCCGGGAGACCUCGUCUCUCCAUCGACACCAUGCCAUCGUGCUGCUGGAGUUCUUCCCCAACCUCUCCCUCCACCUUGCUGGAUCAAGGUGCGGGAGACAUCACCGGGCUGCACGUGUGUUGAACGCGGAGGUGCCGUAGUUCGGCACUAGAUCGAAAUCGCUGCGAGUACGACUCCAUCAACCGCGUUCUAGCAACGCUUCCGCUUAGCGAUCUUCAAAUGUAUGAAGAUGCUCUUACCCCUCUCUCAUUGCUGGUCUCUCCAUAUGAAGAUCUGAAUAUGCGUAGGAAAAUUUUGAAUUUAUGCUACGUUACCCAACAGUGGCAUCCGAGCCAGGUUUUCUAUGCGUAGAUUCUAUGCACGAGUAGAACACAAAAUUUGUGGGCGAUGAUAUGUCAAUUUGCUUGCCGCUACUAGUCUUAUUCUUUUCCGGCGGUAUUGUGGGAUGAAGCGCCCCGGACCGACUUUACACGUACGCUUACGUGAGACUGGUUCCACCGACAGACAUGCACACCGUGCAUAAAGGUGGCUAGCGGGUGUCUGUGUCUCCUACUCUAGUCGGAUUAGAUUUGAUGAAAAGGGUCCUUGUGAAGGGUAAAUAGCUUUGGCAUAUCAUCGUUGUGGCUGUCACGUAGGUAAGAAGACGUUCUUGCUAGAAACCCAAAUCAGCCACGUAAAACUUGCAACAACAAUUAGAGGACGUCUAACUUGUUUUUGCAGGGUUUGACAUGUGAUGUGAUAUGGCCAAAGGUGUGAUGUUGCAUGUAUGAUGUAUGAGAUGAUCAUGUUGUUGUAAUAGGUUUCACGACUUGCAUGUCGAUGAGUAUGACAAUCGGCAGGAGCCAUAAGAUUUGUCUUCAUUUAUUGUAUGAGAUGCAACGCUAUAGUAGUAGUGAUAGUAGUAGUUGGGGUGACGACUUCACGGAGACACGAUGAUGGAUAUCAUGAUGAUGGAGAUCAUGGUGUCACGCCGGUGACAAUGAUGAUCAUGCGAUGCCUGAAGAUGGAGAUCGAAAGAGCAAAGAUGAUAAUGGCCAUAUCAUGUCACUAUAUGAUUGCAUUGUGAUGUUUAUCAUGUUUUACAUCUUAUUGCUUAGAACGACGGUAGCAUAAUAAGAUGACCCCUCUUAAAAUUUCGAGAACGUAUUCCCCUAAGUGUGCACCGUUGUGAAGGUUCGUUGUCUCGAAGCACCACGUGAUGAUCGGGUGUGAUAGAUUCUAACGUUCGCAUACAAUGGGUGUAAGCCAGAUUUACACACGCAAAACACCUAGGUUGACUCGACGAGCUUAGCAUGUACAAACAUGACCUCGAAUACAAGAUACCGAAAGGUCGAACAUGAGUCGUAUGGUUGAAUACGAUCAGCAUGAAGUUGCUCACCAUGGUGACUAGUCCGUCUCACGUGAUGAUCGGACACGGCUUAGUCAACAUGGAUCAUGUAUCACUUAGAUGACUAGAGGGAUGUCGAUUUAAGUGGGAGUUCAUACUUAAUUUGAUUAAAUGAACUUAAUUGUCAUGAAAUUAGUCUAAAAGUUGUCUUUAUAAAUAUUGUAGAUGGCCAACGUCAACCUCAAUUUCAACGCAUUCCUAGAGAAAAACAAGCUGAAAGAUGAUGGUGGCAACUAUGCGGACUGGGUUCGCAACUUGAAGCUCAUCCUUGAAGCAGCUAAAAAGGCUUAUGUCCGUGAUGCGCCGCUAGGUGACCCUCCCGCUCCCGUAGCAGCCUUGGAAAUUCUGAACGUCUGGCAAACGCGGAGUGAUGACUACUCUCUAGUUAGGUGUGGCAUGUUAUACAGUUUAGAAACGGGGCUCCAAAGGCGUUUUGAGCAACACGGAGCAUAUGAGAUGUUCCAAGAGCUGAAGCUAGUUUUUCGAGCUCAUGCCCGUGUCGAGAGAUAUGAAGUCUCCGACAAGUUCUUUAGCUGUAAGAUGGAGGAGAACAGUUCUGUCAGUGAGCACAUACUCAAAAUAUCUGGGUUACACGGUCGUCUAACUGCACUUGGAGUCGAACUUCCGGAUGAUGUUAUAAUCGACAGAAUCCUCCAGUCUCUCCCACCAAGCUACAAAGGCUUUGUGCUUAACUACAACAUGCAAGGGAUGGAAAAGACCAUUCCUGAGUUGUACUCGAUGCUCAAGUCUGCAGAAGUAGAAAUCAAGAAAGAGCAUCAAGUGUUGAUGGUUAACAAGACCACUAGUUUCAAGAAAGGCAAGGGUAAGAAGAACUUCAAGAAAGACGGCAAAGCUGUUGCCACGCCCGGUAAGCCAGAUGCCGGGAAGAAGAAAAAGAAUGGACCCAAGCUUGAGACUGAGUGCUUCUAUUGCAAGGGAAAAGGUCACUGGAAGCGGAACUGCCCCAAAUACUUAGCGGACAAGAAGGCCAGCAACAUUAAAGGUAUACGUGAUAUACAUGUUAUUGAUGUGUACGUUACCAGCGCUCGUAGUAGCUCCUGGGUAUUUGAUACCGGUGCUGUUGCUGACAUUUGCAACUCAAAGCACGAACUGCGGAAUAAGCGGAGACUGGCCAAGGACGAGGUGACGAUGCGCGUGGGGAAUGGUUCCAAAGUCGAUGUGAUCGCCGUCGGAAUGCUACCUCUACAUCUACCGUCGGGAUUAGUUUUAAACCUUAAUAAUUGUUAUUUAGUACCAGCUUUGAGCAUGAAUAUUGUACCAGGGUCUUGCUUAAUGCGAGACGGCUACUCAUUUAAGUCAGAGAAUAAUGGUUGUUCUAUUUAUAUGAGUGAUAUGUUUUAUGGUCAUGCUCCGCUGGUGAAUGGUUUAUUCUUGAUGAAUCUCGAUCGUGAUGUUACGCAUAUUCAUAGUGUGAGUACCAAAAUAUGUAAAGUUGAUAAUGAUAGUCCCACAUACUUGUGGCACUACCGCCUUGGUCAUAUCGGCGUUAAGCGCAUGAAGAAGCUCCAUACUGAUGGACUAUUAGAGUCUCUUGACUUUGAAUCAUUUGACACAUGCGAACCGUGCCUCAUGGGCAAGAUGACUAAGACUCCAUUCUCAGGAAUGAUGGAGAGAGCAACCGACUUAUUGGAAAUAAUACAUACUGAUGUGUGUGGUCCAAUGAACGUUGAAGCUCGCGGUGGCUAUCGUUAUGUUCUCACUCUCACCGAUGAUUUGAGCAGGUAUGGGUAUAUCUACUUAAUGAAGCACAAAUCUGAGACGUUUGAAAAUUUCAAGGAAUUUCAGAGUGAGGUUUAGAAUCAACGUGACAGAAAAAUAAAUGUCUGCGAUCUGAUCGUGGAGGGGAAUAUUUGAGUCACGAGUUUGGCACACACCUAAGGAAGUGUGGAAUCGUUUCACAACUGACGCCGCCUAGCACACCGCAACGCAACGGAGUGUUUGAACGUCGUAAUCGCACUUUAUUAGAUAUGGUACGAUCUAUGAUGUCUCUUACCGACCUACCGCUAUCAUUUUGGGGAUACACAUUAGAAAGUGCAGCAUUCACUUUAAAUAGGGCACCAUCUAAAUCCGUUGAGACGACACCGUAUGAACUAUGGUUUGGCAAGAAACCUAAGUUGUCAUUUCUUAAAGUUUGGGGCUGCGAUGCUUAUGUGAAGAAACUUCAACCAGAAAAGCUCGAACCCAAAGCGGAGAAAUGUGUAUUCAUAGGAUACCCUAAGGAAACUAUUGGGUAUACCUUCUAUCUUAGAUCCGAAGGUAAGACCUUUGUUGCCAAGAACGGACCCUUUCUAGAGAAAGAGUUUCUCUCGAAAGAAGUAAGUGGGAGGAAGGUAGAACUUGAUGAGGUAAUUACACCCCCUCUCGAACAGGAUAGUAGCGCAGGACAGGAAGUUGUUCCUGUGGCGCCUACACCAACUGAAGAGGAAGUUAAUGAUGAUGAUCAUGAAGCUUCAGAUCAAGUUACUACUGAACCGUGAAGGUCCACGAGGGCAGGCUACGCACCAGAGUGGUAGGGCAACCCUGUGAUGGAAAUCAUGUUGUUAGACAAUGGUGAACCUUCGAACUAUGAAGAAGCAAUGGCGGGCCCGGAUUCCAACAAAUUGCUUGAGGCUAUGAAAUCUGAGAUAGGAUCCAUGUAUGAGAAAAUAAAUGGAUCUUCAAGAAGAAGACUGAUGCAAACGGUAAUGUAACCGUUUACAAAGCUCGACUUGUCGCAAAGGGUUUUCGACAAAUUCAAGGAGUUGACUACGAAGAGACUUUAUCUCCCAUAGCGAAGCUGAAAUCAGUCCGAAUCAUGUUAGCAAUUGUCGCCUUUUAUGAUUAUGAAAUUUGGCAAAUGGACGUCAAAACAGCGUUCCUUAACGGGAACCUUAAGGAAGAGUUGUAUAUGAUGCAACCAGAAGGUUUUGUCAACCCUAAGGGUGCUAACAAAGUGUGCAAGCUCCAGCGCUCCAUCUAUGGGCUGGUGCAAGCAUCUCGGAGUUGGAACAUUCUCUUUAAUGACGUGAUUAAAGCGUUUGGGUUCAUACAGGUUUACGGAGAAGCCUGUCUGUACAAGAAAGUGAGUGGGAGCUAUGUAGCUUUCCUCAUACUGUAUGUGGAUAACAUAUUAUUGAUGGGGAAUAAUAUAGAGAUGUUGGAGAGCAGAAAGGCCUAUUUGAACAAAAGUUUUUCAAUGAAGGACCUUGGAGAAGCUGCAUACAUAUUAGGCAUCAAUAUCUAUAGAGAUAGAUCAAGACGCCUCAUAGGUUUUUCGCAAAGUACAUACCUUGACAAGUUAUUGAAAGAAGUUCAAUAUGGAAAACUCAAAGAAAGGGUACUUGCUAGUUUUGCAAGGUAUGAGAUUGAGUAAGACUCAGUCGCCGACUACGACAGCAGAUAGAGGGAAGAUGAGUUAUGUCCCCUACGCUUCAGCCGUGGGCUCUCUAAUGUAUGCCAUGCUGUGUACCAGACCUGAUAUAAACCUUGCCAUAAGUUUGGUAGGGAGGUACCAAAGUGAUCCCGGUAUGGAACACUGGACAGCGGUCAAGAAUAUCCUUAAGUACCUGAAAAGGACUAAGGAAAUGUUUCUCGUUUAUGGAGGUGACGAAGAGCUCAUCGUAAAGGGUUACGUCGAUGCUAGCUUCGACUAGAUCCGGAUGACUCUAAGUCACAGACCGGAUACAUAUAUGUGUUGAAUGGUGGGGCAGUGAGCAGGUGCAGCAGCAAGCAAGAAGUCGUGGCAGCAUCUACAUGUGAAGCGGAGUACAUAGUUGCUUUAGAAGCAGCUCAUGAAGGGAUUUGGAUGAAGGAGCUCAUCACCGACCUUGGAGUGGUUCCAAGCGCGUCGGGUCCAAUGACACUCUUCUGUGAUAACACUGGGCCAUUGACAUAGCCAAGGAGCCCAGGUUUCACCGGAAGACGAAGCACAUCAAACGCCGCUACAACUCCAUCCAGGACCAUGUCCAGACUGGGGAGAUAGAUAUUUGUAAAGUACACACGGAUCUGAAUAUUGCAGACCCAUUGACUAAACCUCUUCCACGAGCAAAACAUGAUCAACACCAUAAUGCUAUGGGUGUUCGAUACAUCACAAUGUAACUAGAUUAUUGACUCUAGUGCAAGUGGGAGACUGUUGGAAAUAUACCCUAGAGGCAAUAAUAAAAUGGUUAUUAUCAUAUUUCCUUGUUCAUGAUAAUCGUCUAUUGUUGAUGCUAUAAUUGUAUUAACAGGAAAUAGUAAUACAUGUGUGAAUAAAUAGAUCACAAUGUGUCCCUGGCAAGCUGCUAGUUGGCUAGGUCGUUAGUCAAUUGAUGAUCAUGGUUUCCUGAUCAUGGGCAUUAGAUAUCAUUGAUAAAGGGAUCACAUCAUUGGGAGAAUGAUGUGAUGGACAAGACCCAAUCCUAAGAAUAGCACUAGAUCGUAUUGUUCGUAUGCUAAAGCUUUUCUAAUGUCAAGUAUCUUUUCCUUCGACCGUGAGAUUGUGCAACUCCCGGAUACCGUAGGAGUGCUUUGGGUGUAUCAAACGUCACAACAUAACUGGGUGACUAUAAAGGUGCACUACGGGUACCUCCGAAAGUGUUUGUUGGGUUGGUACGAAUCGAGAUCGGGAUUUGUCACUCCGUGUGACGGAGAGGUAUCUCUGGGUCCACUCGGUAGAACAUCAUCAUGAGCUCAAUGUGACUAAGGAGUUAGUCACACGAUGACGUGCUACGGAACGAGUAAAGAGACUUACCCGUAACGAGAUUGAACAAGGUAUAGGUAUACCGACGAUCGAAUCUCGGGCAAGUUCUAUACCAACAGACAAAUGGAAUCGUGUACGGGAUUAAUUGAAUCCUUGACAUUGUGGUUCAUCCGAUGAGAUCAUCGUGGAGCAAGUGGGAGCCACCAUGGGUAUCCAGACCCCGCUGAUGGUUAUUGGCCGGAGAGGUGUCUCGGUCAUGUCUGCCUGUCUCCCGAACCCGUAGGGUCUACACACUUAAGGUUCGGUGACGCUAGGGUUAUAGGGAAUUGUUAUACGAGGUUACCGAAAGUUGUUCGGAGUCUCGGAUGAGAUCCUGGACGUCACGAGGAGCUCCGGAAUGGUCCGCAGGUAAAGAUUGAUAUAUACGACGGAUGGUUUCGGACAUCACCGGAGGUGGCCCUGGGGGUCCACCGAAGGGGGGCAACGACCCCGGGAGGUAAGGUGGGCCAAGUGGGGAAGGGAACCAGCCCCUAGGUGGGCCGGUGUGCCUCCCCACUCAGCCCAAUGCGUGGGGGAGAGAAAAGGGGGGGGGCAAACCCUAAGCCAGGUGGGCUUAAGGCCCACCAGGGGUGCGCCACACCCCUCCUCCCCCCCUUUGGUCGCCGCACCAGCCCCCAUCUAGGGCUGCCGCCCCCCAGGAGAGGGAAACCCUCAAGGGGGCGCAGCCCCUCCCUCCCCCUAUAUAUAGUGGGCACUUUUGGCCAUUGGAGAUCAGACUUUUGCCUCUCUUUCGGCGCAGCCCUGCCCUUCUUCCUCCUCCUCUCUGCCGGUGCUUGGCGAAGCCCUGCCGGGAGACCUCGUCUCUGCAUCGACACCACGCUGUCGUGCUGCUGGAGUUAUUCCCCAACCUCUCCCUCCUCCUCGCUGGAUGAAGGUGCGGGAGACGUCACCGGGCUGCACGUGUGUUGAACGCGGAGGUGUCGUAGUUCGGCACUAGAUCGAAAUCGUUGCGAGUACGACUCCAUCAACCGCGUUCUAGCAACGCUUCCGCUUAGCGAUCUUCAAAGGUAUGAAGAUGCUCUUACCCCUCUCUCGUUGCUGGUCUCUCCAUAGGAAGAUCUGAAUAUGCGUAGGAAAUUUUUAAAUUUAUGCUACGUAACCCAACAGCUGUUUAUGAUGUGAUGAACUGAAUCUAUGGUAGUAAUGUAUUAGGGUACCCAAUGUAUUACGGGAAACCCAUGUUUUAUGCUAUCUAUAUUUGUCUGUCCUUAAAUUUGCAUGUGGUGUAUGGUUACUUCUGUUUAGAUAUUUUUUGAAUUAAUGUUCAUAUUUUUACAUUUUCUUUUGAAAAAUAUGGUUUAAUAUAAAAACUAUUAAAAAACACGUUUAAAAUAUGAAAAUGUCAAACUAAGUUCAGAUCCUUCUUAUUCACUUUGAAAUAAAGCUUUGGUGAUUUUUUUGAUUUUUUAAAUUUUUUCAAAAACAGAAGGUAACCCUAGCUCAUAUGUGUGAAGGUUUUCUCAUGAAAAUGGCCAUAGUUUUGUGUCCUUAAAUUUGCUUAUGGUGUAUGGUUACUUCUGUUUAGAUGUUGUGAACUAUGAGUUUAGGCGUUGCAAUGAUCACACAUGUUGUUUCAGUGUUGCUUCACUGAUUAGACAUGCUGCGAAAAAACCUUGGCAAACUAUCUAGGGUAACUAUCUAUGUUUGUAUAUGAGAUCAUGUGUGCAAAAUUUGAGAUGAUUUAGAGAAUGUCAAAGAAAAUUUAAUUUGAGAAAUGUGCUCCAAAUGAGCUCUCAAGCUAGGGUAAACAACCCCAUUUGUAAUCAGGUUUUUGUGGACCUACUCUAAAUGAGCCAAAUGUUUUUUAUUAACACAUAUUCAAUCUAUAUAGUGUAGAUUCGAAGUCUCACUAUUUUUUGAAUUAGUCUUCAUAUUUUUAUAUUUUCUUUUGAAAAAUAUGCUUUAAUAUAAAAACUAUUAAAAAGCACGUUUGAAAUAUGAAAAUGUAAAACUAAGUUCACAUCCUUCUUAUUCACUUUGAAAUAAAGCUUUGGUGAUUUUUUUGAUUUUUUAAUUUUUUUCAAAAACAGAAGGUAACCAUACCUCAUCUCCUUGAACUCUAUGAAAUCUUGUAGGUGAUAGCUCAUAUGUGUGAAGGUUUUCUCAUGAAAAUGAUCAUAGACCAAGUUUAUGAUUUUUGCUUGGUAACAUGUCACAUAAGACAACAUCGUGCGCAGGUUUCAUAUUUUUUGAUUUUUUUAAUAUUAAUGGUGCUCAUUUGACCUCGAUCGUGCCAGCUAGGGUUUUUUUCAUGAAAAUGACCAUAUACCAAGUUUAGUAUUUUUCCUCGUUAGUGUGUCUUAUAAAACAACGAAUGGCGAAGGUUUCAUAUUUUUUAGAUUUUUUUAAAUUAGUUAUGCUCAGUCAAAGCUUUCAUAACCCCGUUGACCAGCUCAAAACCCCUCUAAAUCCCGCGGGGUUUCGCCUAACCCUAGCUCCCAACGUCAGCCGUACGAUCACACCCUGGCGCCAAGCGACAGCCCUCGGAUGUGGUCUUCUAGAAGGAAUUCGGUGGGCAGGCUGCGUGCAGGCUCCGGGCCGUUGGAUCACAAGGAUGGCUCCGCAUCGUUGGAUCGUGCGGCGAUCCGCGAGAGGCGAUCCCGUUGGUUGUGCUCGGCUGCUCGCCCAUCACUGACUCUACAUCGUUUUUUGCAUCAUGUUUUCGCAUCUUUUUUUGCAACGUUUUUUGCAUCGUUUUUUGCGUCUUUUUUUGCAUCUUUUUUUUUGCAUCGUUUUUUCGCGUCAUUUUUUUGCAUCGUUUUUUCCAUCGUGUGUGAACGUGCUGACUCUUUCACAUUUGACCCCGAUCAUAGUCCACUCAUCAAACCAACCACAGUUUCCCACGCGUGUAAACUCCUGAUGCCGCGGUGGGUGUGAAAACGGGGCGGUUUAGGGUUUAGGUUACAAUGGCUAUUUAAGUCGGACGGACACUCCCCUCCCCCAACCGUAGCUCUUCGCCUGCUCCGUUUUCCCACCGGGACCCAAGCACUCCCCUCUCCCAGCCCAUCAGCCAUGCCGCCACGCCGCCAGUACUACACGAUCGAAGAAUGUCUCUACCUCCUUCGGCGGGCUCAAUUCCAGAGGCAAGCGGGGCUACCUCUAGAGGAUUUUGGGGAACCGGAGGAGGAGGCAUCGGAGGAGGAGGCGUCGCCGCAGGAGCUGGAGGUGGAGGCGUCGCCGCAGGAGGAGGCGACGCCGCAGGAGGAGGCGGACAUGGAGGCACCGCCGGUCUACUAUCUGUGGCCCGACCAAGUGGUGAUCAUCAACUCCAUCCGCUCGGAAGCAGCUGCGCAGACCCGACGUUUUCGUCAGCAGCAGAUGCAGGCAGCGCGGGCGGUGCAGGAGGAGGCACAUGUGGUGGCCCAAGAGGACCAGGCUCCGGCGCAGGCGGAUCAAGCCAUCUCCGACUACGAAGACGCAUAGUGCACUAGGCAGUAUGUAGAAUACAUAUUGUAUGAUUCCCUAUAUUGUUUGCUUUCGUCAUUAUGCUCUCUGAGCUAUGUUUGUUGAUACUUCAGCAUGUAUGCUUUCCUUAUUAUGCUCUGUGAGCUAUGUUUGUUGAUGCUUCAAAAUCCUAAUGCUUCAAAAAAUAUAUUACAUGCUUUUUGUUGAUGCUUCAAAGCCCUAAACCCUAAAAUACCUAAAACCUAACCCUAAACGUAGCACUGCACCCUAGCCUUGGUCUGUGGCACUUGGAAGGUGGAGACGCGUGCGAGAGGAGAGGAACCAGUGGCAGCGACUGUCACUACGUCCAUGACGGCGCGCAUGCACGCAGCCUAGCUCGAUCACAUGGCAUGCACAUCAAGCUUCACCGCUUCGGUAUCAUGGUGGUGCACGUCGAUUGGUAUGCCCUAGAGUUUAAUUGCCAUGUUGAAUUGAUGUUGCGGUGGUCAAAGGCUGAGAAGGUGUGAACUGUGAAUCGAUCGAGGAGGCGACAGACGCUACGUCCCGUGGCGGCUCACAGGAAGGCUGCAUCCGUGGUGGGGCGCAUCGACGCAUGCUGGCAGGCAGGUAGGCAGGCGAUUCAUGCCGCGCAUGCAUAACUUUAAUUGUCACGCUGAAUAGAUGCGAGUGGAUCGCGGAGACAAGCUUGUGACAUGAGAUGAACCAGCAGCAGCGACCGUCCCUGCGUCCGUGUCGGCUAGCAUGCAGAAAGAGGCCGGUCAGCGUAUGUGGCGGCUUGUGUGCAGAAAGAGGGGAGGUCAACGCAUCGUGGCGGCGGGCAUCAGCGCAUGGAGGCAGGCUAGCUACGUGCAUGCAUAACAGGCUCAUGUCGUUACGGCGCGCGCAGGGCCCAGCAGCGACCGAUGGAGGCGGGCUAGCUACGAGCAUGCAUAGCAGGCUCAUGUCGUUACGGCACGCACAGGGCCCAACAAUUUAACCACGGCCCAACGGGCUAACCGCGACACCAUCCGCCGCGACCCCACUCAUCAGGUCCAACGGGGGACACAUUCAACGCGGCCCCACUCGUCAGAAUUAACAGUCAAAGCACUGACCCGACGACAUCCACCGUUUGUGACCAGUUCUGAGGGUUUCAGCCAAAGGAGUAGGAAAAAGUAAGCAAAAGUUAAGAGCGUGAGGAUGAAUGAGUAGAGCUAACGAACCAUGGGCACAGAAAUAAAAAUCUCUAUUAUAAAUUGCAUCUAUUCAUAUGCAAGCACUUGCCAAAAAUUAUCCUACGAAUAAACAAACAUACGAACUAGGGGCAUACAAAUAAAAAUCUGUAUUAUAAAUUGCAUCUAUUCAUAUGCAAGCACUUGUUAAAAUUUAUCCUAGGAAUUUUUUUGCGGUACCGCGAGCAAGCGAGACGGAUUUAUGGGAUCUAUUUCGUCGAAUGGCUCUUGGUAUCACAAAAUACUUUUAAUGGAGCGAGUAAACGAUUUUUGCGGGGUGAGUUUUUAUCAGAUUCGUUAGAGUUGCUCUUACAACUCAAAAUAGUUGAGGAGUACCAAAGAAAUGUUGGGACCACAUGAGUUACACUAGGCCUUAAUAUACCAACACUAUACAAGUACAGUAUUAAAACGCAAUAGCAUGUGGUUGAGAUAAGAAAACAUGGCACGCAAUCACGUCUGCGUAUAUAUAUGAACAUAAAGUUCCAUCUCCAACAAAGCUGGCGAUAACUAAGAGCUUCCGAAUUCCCACCAAUACCGCGUUUGGUAUGAAUGAAUCCGAUACGAAUAAACAAACAUACGAAGAAACAAAAAACGUGUAUCCGUGUCAUCAACUCCACGCCCAAAAAGUAAAAAAGCGCCGCCAACAGCUCCGUCCCCUUUCCGCGCCCACACUGGUGGCGCACGAAGCGCCUACGUGGCCCGAUCGAGGUCGUCGGCUCAGCCUGGCCCAACCACCGCCGGUGGUUUCCCUCCGUCCGCGUCCUCUGAGAUCACCUCACCUCGCUGACUCAGAUCCUCCUCUGGAGUCAAAUCCUCAUCAGCCUCGACGCAUCACCGGCGAUUCGCUAGCUAAUUAUUUCCGUCCAGAAAAACAACGCGGCCCGCUCCCAAUGAUCACUCCGUCCCGUUGUUGCCGUGUAGCUGUGCACGCACUGUGCUACAUGUCGUCGUCGAUCGGCUACCUUUGUCCACGACACUACUAUAUAGCUGUCGCUGAGCUCUCGAGUCGAGGCUUGUUCCCAUUCUUCUUCCACAUCGCUACGGCUACGAGAUCCUCUCCCUAUAGUNNNNNNNNNNNNNNNNNNNNNNNNNNNNNNNNNNNNNNNNNNNNNNNNNNNNNNNNNNNNNNNNNNNNNNNNNNNNNNNNNNNNNNNNNNNNNNNNNNNNCGUCGCUGUGGUCGCCCCUCGUCCUCAACGCUGGUGGGAAUGGGUCGCGGGGAGUCUCCCCGAGCUCCUGGACAUGGCCGCCGGCGCUGCUGGACGGAGAAGGCGGGGUAGACGGCGGCGAGGGGUUCUCUCUCUCUCUCUGCUCCUACUCUACAGAGAACUUACCAGGGAGAGGGAGGAGAAAAGGAGGGAGGUGGCGGCGGCGCUGGAGGAAGGAGGGGGAACCCUAGGGAAGGAGGAAGGUUCCCUCCAGC